rnacentral:lncRNA from 1 species
AACAGUGAGGUACAAAACAGAUUGCUUGAAAUACUGGUUAGCAAGGUCUGCGACGAUAGGUCAUUCGAUCUUUCCUGGCAAUUGCUACCAAGGAAUAAUCUGUUGCCAAUAGUACAAGCCGAGCUAGUUCCGACUCGGCUCAAGCCAAUUGACUUAGAAAAAAAAUGAGGAUCGAGUAGCAGGACAGAUGGACUCGACCAGAAAGUGAAAGUAACGUCCGUCGAUAUAAACAAGGUCCAGCGGAUGAUUGCUUUGGCCAUGAAAAAGGGGCCGAAGUUCCCUAAAUUUAUCCAUCCAUAUCCAGCCUACGUGGAAAGGUUCGAAUAUUAUAAAGGUUUCAAAAUUCCAGAUUUUAGUAUUUUCGCUGGAGAAUCGUCUUUAUCCUCGUUAGAACAUGUGGCUCGUUUCACCGCGCAAUGCGAAGAUGUCAACAAUGAUUUUCACGAGCUGGGGCUGUUCAAAUUUUCAUUGACCGGUUCAGCAUUUUCCUGGUAUAUCAACCUUCCACCUAAUUCCAUCCAAAGCUGGGAGGAAUUGGUCGAGAGAUUUCACGAGCAAUUUUAUCGGCCAGGGAUAGAAAUGUUAGUUUCUUCGUUGGUAAGGAUGACUCAAGCAUCUGAUGAGUCACCAAUGGAUUAUCUUACCAGAUUCAAAUCGGCCAGGAAUUGGUGCCGAGUACCUCUCCCUGAAGUCGAUUUUGUUAGACUUGCUUUGAACGGACUCGACGUAGAAUAUAAAAAGAAAUUUUUGGAGGCAAACUUUCGGGAUAUGUAUGAAUUAGCCCAGCAUGUCGAGCAAUAUGACUAUUUGCUCUGAAAAGAGAAGAUGUUGAAAUCCCCAUCUCGAAAGACGAUUUACAAAAACCUUACGGUUAAUUACGCGUCAACCGAAGGUGAGGAAUCUCAAUACGUCAGCAUGGACGCGGCUGAGAUAGUAAUAGAUAAACCAUACGUGUGCAAGGCAUUGACUCAAAUUAAUUCCAAGGAGGUCAAAACCCACUCGGCCACUGAAGAAAUAGCAAAAACAUCAAAAGUUUAUACCUUUGAUAUCACAAAGGCCGAAGCAAUUUUUGAUCAAUUGCUAUUAUCGAAAAUCAUUAAACUUCGGCCAGGGCAUAAUAUUCCCAAGGCUGAAGACCUUAAAGGAAGGACAUAUUGUAAAUACCAUAACUCGACAAAGCAUGCAACAAAUAAUUGUGUCAUAUUUCGUGAUGAUAUCUAGAGCUGGAUUGAUAAAGGCAAGUUAAAGUUUCCUAAAAAAUGCAUGACAGUGGAUACGGAUCCAUUCCCUUCAGUGACAGUCGGCAUGGUACCAUUUGCCCAAGAGCAAAGGAAAAAAGAAGGUCGAAUUUGCCCCAGUACAACACAUCCGAAAGCAAAGCUCCCAGCGUUGACUCAAGAUCGACCUAUUUUCCAAUGCGCCACCUACCGAGCUCUCAGGACCAGCCAUAGUUGAACCAAUGUCAAACUACAAUGAUGAAGGAAAUGGCGGGCCAAUAGUACCACAUAUCCUAAAGAAAUGUUCCCAACCUCGACUCAAGAUUGACUUGUUUUCUAAUGCACCACCCGCCGAACUCUCAGGACCUGCCAUAGUCGAGUCCAUGUCAAACUCCAGCGAAGAUGGAAAUGACAGGCCGAUAGUUCUGUGGAGCAAUUGUAAGGCACACGUGGUAUUAACUGAGUCCAAGAGGAAACUGCCUCCGAUACAGAUGCCGACAUCACAACACCAAUUAGAAAUUACAACGAAACCUUCAAAGGAACCUAGUGAAGGCCAGCGCCAGAAAGUAUUUGACAGGCUCGGCCCAAGGAAACAGACAGAUGGUCCUACAUCGGUUAGACAUCACCUUGAUUUCGACGCACCGUUUUACAAUAAGGAUUAUUAUUCCCGUAAUUCCAGUAGUUCGAGCUCAUCCGCAAAUCCAAAAACCUUCAGGCCACCUGAACCACUUGACCAACGUUGGUACAGCUACAAUUCUCCUACCGGCAUGUAUACCGCGCUCUCCAAAUCUCAAAAACAUCGACAUCAACAUAUAGAUUGCUUGGCUCGACGGUAAGCGGCCCAGCCUGUUUCGGCCACUAAAUGGUAGCCGAAAGAGACGGCAGGAAGCGGAGAUGAUCGGCCAACCCCAACAAUCAUGGCUGAAUUAUAAGGGCAAAAGGAAACCAAUCGGGACUUCGAAACUACCAUUGAAGUAGCUGAAAAGCGCAUCAAACUUCUUCUUCGGCCCGGGGAAAUGAAAGCUCGUUUUGAGCAAUUUAAGAAAGAGGCCGAAAGCUAACUGCCCCCAUUACCUUUGAAAGAACCACUAAUCAGAGUUCGGAGGAAUCUGCACCCCCCAUUCCUCGGCGAAUCAUUAGAAUAUAUGAAAGAAUUUCACAAGAAAUAUUCCGCCAACGACUUGUAUGGGUUGCCCAAGGCCUGCCAAGAAGCUCUUGACCUGGCAUUAACUUGCCCCGAUACUGAGCAGAUCAUCCAAAAAACCACUGAUCCAGUAAUAAAAGCUAGAUUCCAGCACAUUCGAGAGGCUAGGGUUUUUGACUUCGAGGUCGACCUAUACACGGAUAUUAACACAGCCGAACUCCCUUUUUCUCUUGAAUACCUUCAACACCUUCGAUAUCACUUCAAAGUGUUUUCGACUGUCUCCUUGUUUGGAUUAACGACUGAUGAGAUAGAGCGGGUGGCACGUCUGGACGUUUACCUGGACACCAGGAAUGCCCGGAUCUCCUAUGAGGAACGAGCUCGCAAAAUACGACAGGAGCAGAGUCUGACACCAGAUGCAUGCAAGCCCGAGGACGACAGUCAAUAGGAUACAGCGUCGGAUUGUGUGGCAUAAGCGCCUGAAUAUGUUGAGACACACAGCGAGCCAACCGCGAAUGCUCCAACACACGAUGAUACAGUCCUCACCAUUCCAGAAGCUGACGACCAGGAUCCAAUGGGCCAUUCAGUCCUUGAAAAUAUGGAAAUCAGCAUGGUUCAUGUUCUUCCUGCCGAAUUUCAGCUGACUACACACCAACCAAGUUCCUUGGACUGUGAUGUGGUCACCGAGGAGGAAACACAAGUUGAUUUCGUCAUUCCUACUGAAGACGAGUCAACUAACGGCGACGAUAAACUUAAAACAACCUUGGACAUCUUGUUUCCCCGUUCUUCCUCGACUAAUCUUCAACAUUUAAAAUCGUUGUAUGUCACGGCCCAUAUUGAAGGCUAACCAAUCCCCAAGAUUUUCGUCGAUUGCAGAGCAACAGUCAAUAUCAUGCAUGUAUCCGUCAUGAAAGCAUUACAACGAUCCACCGACGAACUCAUUCCUUCAGGAAUAACCAUGAGUAGCUUUGUCGGUGACAAGUCCAAACCAAAUGAGUACUCCCUCUAAAGGUAAACAUCGCAGGUCAUAAUCACAUGAUCGUAUUUUUUUAUCGUCGACUCCAAAACCGAAUAUAAUGCUUUGCUCGGUAGGGAUUGGAUUCAUCAAACGAAUUGCAUUCCUUCUUCUUUAUACCAAGUCCUGAUUUUUUGGGAUGGUAAAUCGGUCGUGGUCCACCCAGCUGAUACUCAGCCGUUUGAAACCAACAUGAUUCAAGCCCACUAUUAUGAUGAUCACGUCGGCUAUAUUACCCUACAAGGUUUUAAUGAAGAUGGACGGCCGACUCGGAUCUCAGUCCAGAAAGCCAUUAAGGUAGGCGCCGAGACUGUCCACCAGGAUUCGGCAAAACUCGGUUUGGCCAAUUUACUCCCCACCACUGAUGAUUGACAUCAAAAGCGAGAGGUGUUGGGCUGCGGUUUCAUCCACGAUGGAACGCCUGCUGGCCCAUUGGUAUGCUAUUUCCAAACACCCGCAUUCCGGCAUCAACUUAAUCCAAUUUUUGGUCAAAGAGGAUAACGGCCCGGUACUAUCGUUGGAUAAAGUUCAGGCCGCUAAGUUAAGGAUCCUCUAGAGGAAAACGAGCUCGACGACAGCCGACCCUAAGUUAAGGAUCCUUUAGAGGAAAUAAAUGUUGGAACGGCCGAUGAUCCUCGGUCGCUAUUUAUUAAUGCGUUAUUACCCCAUGCCAUGAAAGUGGAACUCUAUCAAUUGCUUCACGAGUUUAAAGAUUGUUUUGCUUGGAGUUAUCAUGAGAUGCCGGGUCUCGACCGGACCCUUGUCGAACAUGAAUUACGUAUCAAACCUAGUUGCAAGCCUGUUCGACAACCUCCUCGUCGAUUCUUGACUGAAGUACAGCUCGGCAUAAAAAAUGAAAUUAUUCGACUGUUAAAUGCUAGGUUUAUCCGAACCGUUCGAUACGUAGAGUGGUUGGCGAAUAUCGUACCAGUGCUCAAGAAAAAUUGGGCCCUACGCAUUUGCAUUGAUUUUUUUCGAAAUUUGAAUCUGGCAAUACCUAAGGAUGCAUAUCCCAUGCCAAUUUCAGAUUUGCUAAUCGAUGUCGCGGCUAAUCAUGACAUGCUGUCAUUCAUGGAUGGACAUGCUGGUUAUAACUAGAUAUUUAUUGUUGAAGCCGAUGUUCAUAAAAUUACUUUCCGCUGCCCGGAAUCACUUGGAACCUACGAGUGGGUAGUCCUGCCAUUCGGUCUAAAAAAAUGCUGGUGCUGCAUAUCAACGCGCGAUGAAUACCAUUUUUCAUGACCUGAUCGGCACUACCAUAGAAGUGUAUAUUGAUGACGUUGUGGUCAAAUCAAAAAGUCACCGAACGCAUAUUGAUGAUCUUCAGUAAGCUUUCCUUCGCAUGCAACGACAUAACCUUAAGAUGUACCCAGCCAAAUGCGCAUUUGGCGUGUCGGCCGGUAAUUUCUUAGGUUUUCUUGUCCACCAUCGCGGCAUCGAGGUCAACGCGAACAAAGCCCGUGCAAUUAUUUACGCCCCACCACCGACGACCAAAAAACAACUCUAGUCCUUGCUUGGGAAAAUAAAUUUUCUUUGCCGAUUCAUAGCUAAUUCUGCUGGCAAAAUGACGGCAUUCUCUACACUAUUGAAACUUAAGGACUCAGAUAAGUUUGAUUGGCGUGAAGAACAUCGAGCGGCUUUCACACAAAUCAAGGUUGCCCUUGCAACUCCACCCGUCCUCGUACGGCCUCGACGUGAUAAACCCCUUAAGCUUUACAUUUCUGCAGCCGAAGAAUCUAUCGAUUGCCUCAUCACGCAAGAUACUGAUGUUGGGUGAGAACAAGCUAUUUUCUAUCUCAGCCGACACCUCCAUCCUCCAAAGAUCAAUUAUUCACCAGUUGAGAAGCUUUGCUUGGCUUUGUUCUUCGCCACAUCAAAACUCUGGCAUUAUCAAAGUUUAGUUUGCAGUACGUCAUGUUGGUACCACACAUAUUGGGCCUCAGAUUUUGAUACAUUGGGCCUCAUUACCCACCCCAUAUGAUUAUGUAAAAGGAGAAGCCCCUUAUUCUAUAAAAGGGGACUCUUCCCUCCUUACAAAUCGGACUCGGGGAACCUAACAGAGGGCAAUACCCUCACAAACACAACAACACUCUCUUUCUCUGGAGGACUCCCCCUCACCCUUGUAAUCCAUACAUACAGUCAGAGAAAUACAAUAUCAGUGUGGACGUAUCCCAAACAUUAGGGUGAACCACAAUACAUCUUGUGUUAUUCACUUUCUUGCAGAUUCACGGUCUGAUUUACAUUGUUCCAAAACCCUCCGAUUUUGUGCAUCAACAGGUCCCACAAAAAACCGUCAAAUGACAAGCGCUUGCUGAUUUCUUAGCCCACCACCCUUCUCCAUAUGGGUUCGGGGGCACCGAUGUUGAAAUCGGCAUGGUGGAAGCACGUGACAAUUAUUAGACGGUGUAUUUCGAUGGUUCCAGCACGUCAACAUCGACCGGUGUAGGGAUUGUACUCCAGUCACCACACCAAUACCGUUGGUUCUUUUCGCUCAAGUUGGAUUUCGAUUGUACCAAUAAUCAGGCUGAGUACCAAGCCCUUGUUAUCGGCCUUAGCGUACUUCAUAAUUUGCAUGCUGCUCGCGUCCUCGUCUUCGGUGAUUUGGAGCUUGUGAUUAACCAACUUAAUGGAACUUUUUGAUGGAUGAGUUGUACUCUGGUGCCCUAUCACAUGGUGGCCAGUUACUUGGCCAAGUCAUUCAAUCAUAUUUCCCGUGGACGGAACACCGUCGCAGACGAACUCGCUUAGAUAGCUCUGGAGCACAACUCAUGGGGGGCAAGAGUGGACCAAUGAUACCCAUUUUACGGUAAUAUUGUCCGGCUGUGGUUAAUCAACAAGUCCUUCAGCGAGACCAAGUCAUCCAUACACGGGUAAUGUCCUUACCUUCGUUGUUGGAACGGAAGGAUCCUGUAGAUGUUUACACGGUCGAGACGUUACCAAACGACUGAAGAAGGCCAAUUAUGCAAUACCUUGAUAAUCCCAGAGGUAAACACGACAGAAAGACAAAGGUCCAUGCCACAAACUAUGUCUCAUACCAGAAUGAGUUGUAUCGAAAAGGCGAUGACGGUUUAUUACUGUUAUGCCUCGGCCCGCAAGAAGCUGCCCAAGCAAUCACAGAAGUACAUGAAGGAAUUUGUGGAGCCCAUCAAUCAGGACGCAAGAUGCUUUGGUUACUUUGCCGGCACGAUUACUUUUGGCCAAGCAUAUUGAAAGAUUGUAUCGAGUAUGCACAAAGAUGCGUCCAGUGUCAAAUUCAUGGACCCAUCCAAAGGGCCUCGACCGAAUUACUUCAUUCGGUUACCAAACCUUGGCCGUUCAAAGGAUGGGCAAUAGACGUGAUUGGCAAAAUCAUACCAUCCUCUGAAGUAGCAAAACAUGCAUGGAUACUCGUGGCAAAGGAUUAUUUCACUAAGUGGGUCGAAGCAAAAUCAUACGCCGAAUUAACAUCCAAGGAGGUUUGCGAUUUUGUGGAGGAACAUAUUGUGACAAGGUUCGGCGUACCAGAAAUGAUCAUAACUGAUAAUGGCACAGUCUUCACAGCCGAAAGGUUCAAAGAGUAUACGGCGAGCUUAAAAAUUCAGGUUGAGCAAUCCACACCAUACUAUCCACAAGCGAAUGGACAAGCCAAAACAAGUAAUAAGGUUUUGAUCAGAAUUCUUGAAAAAAUGAUAAAAGAAAGACUUGGCAUGUGGCAUUUAAAAUUGAAUGAAGCCUUAUUGGCAUACCAGACUUCACCCCGGUCGGCAACGGGAACCACCCCAUAUGCGUUAACCUAUGGACAUGACGCAAUGUUACCAGUCGAGCUAAGUGUAAAUUCUUUAUGCAUGAUCGAGCAGAGUAGUUUGUCCAACGCCGAAUACAACCAGGCCAUGUUACAAGAGUUAGAAGAUUUGGAAGAAGAUCGGCUUGACGCUUACAAUCUUCUAGUGGCACAAAAGAAAAUUGCUGAGUGAGCUUAUAAUCAAAGAGUCAAACAAAAAACAUUCAACGAAGGAGAGUUAGUUUAGCAAACUGUGUUACCCGUGGGAAUUAAAGACCCCAGGUUCGGCAAAUGGUCGUCGAAUUGGGAAGGACCGUUUGUCGUCCAUAAAGUUCUCGGUAAGGGGGCAUACCAUCUUAGAGAUCGAACCAGUAUUAUUCACAAAUUACCAAUUAAUGGAAAGUUCUUAAAAAAAUACUACCCAGUCACAUGGGAGAUGCAAGAGUAAAGCUUGUUUCAUUUCAUUAAUAAGAUGGUUUACAAUCAAAAUAUUCUAAGGCGAUGAAGGAAGAAAAGUUCCAAGAAGGGCCUUCAGCUCCAGCCACCGCACCUCGCCCAUUAUGACCUCGGCCUGCCGAUUCUUCUUGUCCAUCUUCAAAUGCUCAACUCGCUUCGUGCUCGCCGCAUACUCGGUUAAACAAUCUUUGCAGCCAGACUCGAAGUCCUUCGCAAGCUUAGAAGCAAUAGCCGACCUUCGUUUUGCCAACUCAGCCAUUUGACGGUUGAGGUCGGCCAAGGCUUCCCCUUUCUCCUUUAAAGCAUCGAUCUUCGAACGAAAAGUGUCUUAAACGGCCAUGGCAGCUUUCAGAUCUUGUUCAGCCCAAAGAGCGUUCUCGAAUACACUGAAGGAUUCCUGAACUCGCUCCAAGGUGGACGAUGCCUGAACGAUAGCCUCGACGCUCAUUUGACCAUCUGCUCCAAAGACGUUUAGGCAUGCACCCAACAAAUCAAAACCUUUGCGCUCAAGGACUUGUGGUGCCGAGAGAGACAAAACUUCUUGCAGCCGAACUAGAACAGCUGAAUCUGUAGGUUCAGUUGUAGUAACCGAGGGGCCAGCCGCUCCAGAAGUGCUUGACAAGAGAGCUUUAAACUCAACUUCCCAUGAAGGCUGCACAAAAAAAAAUCAGUUUAAGCACAAGGAAAUCACGAAAGAAUAUAGCAAGAAGGUUUUUGUUUUAAACCUGCCAGAUGAGACUUCAGCUAUGUCUUCGGGUUUGUUGCUCGAACCUAAAGAACUUAAUGGCUGAGCCCAGUGUUUUAGGCUUUCUUCUCAGUUCACGCAGCCGAUGGAGGUUAUCUACGUUCGAUGGCCACUGCGGCGGCCAAGAAAUAUAGAUAACACCUUUUGGCGCAUAGAAAUUUUGAUGAAAAGAAUGGGUAGGCACCUGACAUUUGGUAUCUUCCUGGUUUAGAGUUCUAAGGCAGAAAAGUAACCAAAGAGAAGUGGUAGGGGUACUUACAAAGGUCGAAGUGGCUUUUUAGGGAGGAAUGCUGAGGUUCUGGUCCUGCGGAUGAACGAGUGUUUACGCCGUCGUUUCUGGCUCUACAGCAGGACGUUUACCACGAUCGGCCACAUAAAGGCUGACUUGGACAACCGCCUCGGGCACAGGGGGAGGUGGAUAGCGUGGUUGAAGGUGACUCGUCAGUGGAAUCUCAUUGCUCCCGUCACUCUCGGCUAAGAGGGCCGCCCCUUCCAAGACAGACGCAUCAGCUGGCCCUGAAGCUGCAGACGCCUCGACCAGUGGAGCAACAACUGGUCCAACGACUUGAGAAACAGGCCGUACAUGGGUUGUUUCUUUGGUCGGUGUUGGCUGUUUCUCUGUCGAAGCUUGGACGACAGGGGUAGAGGGGGAAACAUUAGGAGUCGUCGCUCCUGUAGUUUGACUAGAAAUAACAUGAAUCUCCCGUUCUCCUUUCCUCGCUAGCUUCUUGACCCGUUUUAUGGGUUGAGGGGGUUUUAGGGCCGUCUCGGCAUUUUGACGAGGUAGUUUGCUCAGCAAAGCCUGCGUGGUAGUCUUAGCCCUUUUGGAGAUGGUCGAUUUUUUCCCAGCCACAGCCGCAGCGACCACUUCUGCCUUUUUCAGUGACCGACUACCUGAGAAAGGAAAAGCAAAUUAGUAGAGUUCAAAGUCAAAGGAAGAAGGUAGAAAUAGACCAUUACCUUGAGAUUGAGGGGCAGAAGCCUUAUUGGGUCGACCGCCGAAGAUCUUGUUCAUGACGUCUUCGACUGGAGCACCAAAAAAGUUUUGGGUAUACUCUUCCCACCAAUCACUGAAAGUGUCAAUGCUAAGAGAUUCUGGAACAGUUGGUUAAAGGCGGAAUUUUUGGCACCAUUCUUGAAACUCCUUUUUGGCAUCCUUGCACUCAUUUUCUGAAGAGCCAGAUAGGCGUCAUCGACUCAGCUGGGAGUGAGAAGUAAGAAGAGGCACCGGGCAACCCUGAAGACAACCGAGUUGCCGAGUAGUGAAUUGGGGGUUAUAUACUUCCCUACUUGCUCGGUGUGUGUCACACCCAAGAGAAAGGUUGCUGGUAAGCACAAACGACCUUCAGGAUUGACGAAGUUCAGCAUCAUCAUUUGUACUUCAUGUUGAUGUGGGAAAUUUGAUCGACAAAGGAUAUUCUCGACGAUGGCAAAUCAAGAAUUCAUCGUCGAAAAGGGCAUUAAGGCCAAAGAAGUAUCUGAACACGUAUUCAGCUUGGUGAGAAUGUACUGGUCGAGAAGCCACCUGAAGGCCGAGCGCUUCAGUAGGCGAAAAGCUGGCAAGCUCUGGCCGAAGGGUGAUGAAAUAAACCUGCAGCCAGAGCUGGAAUACCCAAAGGGGGCCACUCUGAUGUGGGUCGAUCUUCUGAAGGGUCAUCUCGGCCAAACAACGCAAGAGAUGAGCAAGAAUAGCUGGAGUAAGCGCCAGGGUGUGACCGCUGGCCAGGGCUUCAGCCACCGGCAUGUUCUCGACCAGGCAUUUGUUGAACUUGGUACAACAAAUAAAUUUGUUAUACCAGUAGAAGAGGAAGGCUUCGUGUUCUCCCCGCCGUAGGUUCUCUUCACCUCAGCCGGCAAAGUGUAGGUAACGAGUGUUGUAGUUGAGGAAGUUCUUAUGAAGUUUCUGAACUUCCUCCUUUGAGGGUUCUUGACCCUCUCCGGUUAGUGUUUCGAUGGCUCGAUCGUUGAAAACUGCCUUUAGGUCGAUGGUCGAUGGGUACCCAGAGAGGGUAACAUCAACCGAGAUGCCAAAAGGGGAAGUCCCUAGGAUCGCGGUAAUGUCAAGGAUAGUAAGACCCAUGAGGCCGAGGGGAAGGAUCAUAGUGUUGGUGGCUGAACACUAGAAGCUUGAGGCUGCCAUAAGAAGCUCCUUGUCCACGAUGAGCUCCAUAGACGAAAGACGAAUGGCAUCAUAAAUGCCAAGAUCUUUCCAUUGCUCACCGAAGAUCUUUUCCAUCCGUGCAACCCAGGCUGCCCAGGUCGCACUGGUCGAGGGCCAAGAGCCUUGGGGUUUUGCUGAAUCCCACAUCGACCAUUCAAACCCUUGCAGUAGAGGUGUUAAACACUGCUCCUUGAAGAGUUCGGUGAUAGCUGGUGGCACUGCAUCCUUAAAAAGUGGACCAAGGAUCUGGUGGGGGAUGCUCAUGUUGCUCUCAAAGCGCAGAGUCUUGAUUGAGCGUUGGUCGAUAAUUGCUCCUCAUUUGUCGCAUUCCUUAGAAAGCUUGGAGAUGAAGGAGGCCAUUGGAAUGGUUUUGAAGGCUUUUUGGAAUAAAGUCAGGGGAUUUGCUUUUAAUCUUUUGAACAAGAGGAAGUUUGGAAAAUUUGAAAACGUAAAGAAUGAAUAAUGGAAAGCCGGGUAUUUAUAGACUCGUGGAAUGGAAGACCAAACGGGGAGAGUGAUCGGGAAGAUCACUAAUAAUUAUGGAGUGAUGGAGAAUAUUAACAGACUCUGAAUAAAGAACCAAAAAAACUCGCAGAUUAAGGGGUCAUGAUGAUAUCGUGACGGCGUCCUUUUAUGAAGAAAAGACAUUUUGGUGUCCGCACGAUCUCGAAGGUAUCGAAAGAUUCACAAAUCAAGAUUGCAUGAUGGCAUGCGGCAACAUGUAUAAUGAUUUGAGGAUGUUUGGACAUCCGCACGUCUUGAGGAAUUCAAAAAAUCUCAUGGAUCAAGGGGGUAAUGAUGAAAGGACACUUCAGGUCAUGCUGAGAAGAGGACAUUUGGCGAGGUGUCUAAUGAAAUCAAGAUCGUGCAAUCGUGCUUCAUAAAUGCACCUCGGGAGACGGAGCCUGGUGUCGCUUCUUCAAGGUCAGGGCUCCGCUAGAGACUUCAGGCCGAAAAAGUCCUAAGAAACAAGGGGGCAAUGUUUGGGCCGAGAUUUAUUCUCGGCCCGGAAGGCCUUACGAAAAGGUUAUCGUGGAUCGUUUAGUUCAUGGGCUUAACCUAGGUCGGUCAAGUCAUGCUGCAAGACGAGUAAUCGAAUCCUGGGGCAAUAAGGAGUCUCGGCAAGAUAUGGAUAUUGAUAACCCGGAAGUGAAUCCGACUUGAUAAAGGACUGGGUUCAAAGUCAUAGUGAAAAUAGGACUGGUCAAGAGGGUGUUUGAUUAGAAGAAGAAAUCCUAAUCCGAGUAGGGUUUAACUCGAUCUAGACAGUACCUGAUGCUAUAAAUAGAGGAGGCUGUACAUCGUUCAACCCUCUUCAAUUCAACAUACAACUGCCCUGCACAAAUUCUCUUAACAACCUUGAGACUUUUUUCCUUUUCUUUUUUCGCUGACACACCUUUAGUUUGGAUAAACAGUAAUGUGAAGGCAACUGGUGGCACUUCAGUCGACAUAGAUAGCACUGUCACCGUAGAACCAGCCGGUCUCGCAGCAUCUUCAGUCGGCAUAGAUAGCACUGCGUCGAGGGUGACUGGUUAUCUAUCCAAGUCUCGGUCGAAAAGGAUUUCCGAAUCCUUAUUGGUCGAGGUCAUCUCAUUAGCAUUCUCGGUGAAGUAAGGUGUUACAUUUUAUUAGGCUCGGCACAUUGCACGUCAAGUUAGUUUAUGAUUGGAUACUCUCAAGUGGGAUUUAGAGUUCGACAUUCCGACGGCCAAACCACGUUUAUUGUUAAGACAUGUAUCAUCUUUGAGUAUUUGUGCCCUUACACUUUGGUGUCGAUUCGGUGUGAGUUUACUCUGACGAAUACCAUCACUUUGACCGAAUCCGACGACGACAAUUUGUGAACUUCGUAAGAAUAGUAGCCUUGUCUUAAGAUUCGAGAACCCAAGAGGCCGAGACGUGUUUCUUCCUCGGUCGCAAUCGUGAGACGCAGAAGUCAUCUGCGCACCCAAUGCAACAUCAACAAAUUUUACUCCUCGGCCGAGUUCGACCGACGAGUUGGCACGACCCGCAUUCAACCGAAGGACGUAGUUAGCUUAUAAGUUACUCGGCUUACGCGCCACGUAGGCUUGGUAGUUUUUAGGGUCAACAGUUUGUUUUCCACUUCCCAAAUUCUUGUAUUUGAAAUAAUUUAUUAGAAUUAACAAUCGUUUUAUUUUCAAAGCAUAAAAAAUAAAAUAAAAAUAUUGUGAAUAAUACUUGCUCUUGCCCUUUUUCAAAAGGGUGGAGUUGCACAAAAGCAAUUACUAUUCAAAGUGAGUAGCAAUGGAAACUUAUAGCCCUUGCCUUUGCCUUGCUCUUGCCGUCCACCAACGGGUGGAGAUGCUCUUAUACAUUUGAGUUUGAAUUCCCUCUUAACAGUUUAUCUAUAUAUAUAAAGUAAGCACCCUAAAAUGGUGAAACAUUCAAAAUACCAUAAAUUGCCCUUUAAGAAUCUCAUAAAUUACAAUUGAACCAAAAGAAGCUAAAGUAUUUAACCAUAUUUUUAUUUUGAAUGAAUUUAAUAUUUAAAAUUAUAGAAAAAUAAACAAAAACAAAACCUCCCACAUUAGUGGGUGGUUUCAUGUCUUUAAUUCAUUUCUUUUUUUAAUAAUUUCUUAAAAAAUAUGUAAAUUAAUUAUUUAAAUAAAAAAUAUAAAAAGGCCAAUUGCCACACACGUAUGCAUGUGGCAAGAGGCUAGUAUUGUUUUAAAGUAAAUUAUCCAUGAGAUAAAGUAAAUAAAUAAUACUUCUGAUUUGUCUCUGAAUUUUCAUAUUUGUACAUGUUUUUCAUUUUGCAUUUUCGUGCUUGUAAUUCACUAGAUUGUAUAUGCUUCAACUAAACUCCAUUCCAUCAAUGACUUGAUUUUUUUCAUCCGUUUGUGUCCGAAGCAAUUCAAAGCAAAUAAAAAGUGCUUUUCUGCGCUUUUUAACUAGAAACACAAAGAUAUAAAAGCUUGUUUGGUACUUUCAUUGUUUUUUUUGGAACUAAUGAAUAAAUUAAACAAUUUAGCUACAUUUAUCCUUAAGAAAAUGAAUUCAAUAAGAGCAUGCCCCAGGUUACUUGAGCAGAUUUUAACAAGUCCAAAGGAAAAAAAACCAUCUCUGAUUGGACAAGAAAACCCUACAUUAUUUUCCAACUUGGAAGCCAUCACAUGGAGGUAGACCUGGCAUUUUCAACCCGACCCAUUAACCCGACCCGACUCAACCCAUUAAAAUCAGUAUUCGGAUGAGUGAUAAACGGGUCGGAUGGUUAACGGGUUAAUCCGUUAAUCACUCGUUAAAUAACGGGUCAUUUUGGAUGAAAUCUGUUUUACAGCGUCAGUCACAAAAAACACUCCUGGGUUCCUCCUCCAGCUGUAUCUACGGCAUUUAGUACGAAGACCAGUCAUUCUCCGUCGGAUUUUUCGAGAAGGAACAGCUGAGCUUAAUGCCAACGGAUAUUUUUGACGGAUUUUUGUUCAGGUGCGACCAGAACAAUCAGGGACUCUUUAGGGGUGCCUCCGGUUUGCUCGAUCUCGACCGGGAUAAAAUCUCCCUCAUCGAGUAAUCUGCCUCGAAAUACAACCGGUUCUUCUCCUACUGCCUCCCCUCCAAAUCCAGUGGCACUAGAUACCUCAGCUUCGGCAAAGGCGACGGAUCUUCCAACGCCGUGAAAUUCACACCCCUCGCCAACGUCUCCCAAGGCGUGAAAUUUACACAGGCCUUCAGCAAUGGCCAGGAGGAUGGUAGGUGGCUCAAGCUCUUCGAACGUGUUGACGAUGAUACCUUUGGAUUUGGGAAGAUAUAAGCAAAAGGAGAGGAAGUCCCAAUAAACAGGGUCGUCUCGAUCGAGCACCGAUUCGAUCAUGUGUAUAGCCUUAAGAGGAGAUUUCCGUCCGGGGAAUUUGAAAAUGAUGUCGGUGAGAUCCUUUGAACUCUGGGUGGUUUGUUCAUGGAUCUUAGGGAAAUACAAAAAAUCAACCAGAAUUGCGGCCCAGAAGAGGUCGAUGAUGAAGGCACGGAUGACGGGUGAAACGAAAAAAAAAAAAAAGUUGUUCACGGGUGAAUGGAUGACCCCGUUAGCUUAACGGUUUGGAUUUGGAUGACCCGUUAACUUAACAGGUUGGGUUUGAAUGACCCGUUAAGUUAACGGGUUGGAUGAAACUCAACCCAAACCCAAUAAACCCGACCCGUUUACAAGUCUACAUGAAGGUAGAUGAAACAGUAAAUUACCCAUUGUCUUUGUAGACAUCCAUUUAUAUUACUAUACAUAAGAAACUUGGUUUAGAUCCAACUGAUUAAUAACGCAAUCGUCGAUUCAAAUUCAUAAGACAUAUCAUUAUGUAUAUCGAAAGUCAUGCCUGAACAAGUUUCGCAAAGAAAAACCUCAAACGCAUUAAAAAAAAAAGCACAUUCAAAUUAAAAUACAACAAAAAAUUGCGAAACUAAAAAAAUGCACGUUCAUCUCUCACGUCUAUACUUUUAAUCCCUCUCUUUCGGUAUCCACCACAUCCCUUCCCCUAAAAUAUAAGAUCUAAAUCAAUAAGUGUAACAAGGGACUUUAUUGUCAUCAUUCAAAGAAAUGCUCUCUCAAUCAAUGACAGGGCCGGCCUCUUACGUACAAGAUCUUAUUUCUUGUACUGGAAAGAAUGGGCUCUAAGAUUGACUCAAAAAAUAAACAAAUUACGACCUUCAUUACGCCAAGGGAGUGAUGGAAAACAAAACCAGAUCUCAGCACAGGCAUUCCUGACAAGCUAUACUGAGUCGAAACUCAUAGAAGCUUACUAGUUCUUCGUUUUGAUGGCCCUCCAGGGAAAAGCUUCAUAAUCCAUCCCAAGACUCUUUCCACUACCUACAUACGAGAAUAUAGAGAAAAAUAAUAUUUCUAUAUCAGCCAAUCAUUUGCACUCUGGGUUUCUUUUUCUUUUCUUCUUUAUAUUGAGCUAUAGGUAACUAUCAGCUUGUAUCAGAAAGACAUUCGUAAUUUCGGCAAUAAAUGUAUUUAGAAGCAAAACAAUCACAGAACUGUUCAGUUCUUUGAGGAAUGAUGUACCUGUGCUUUAAGUAUAAAUAAUAUUUAUAUAAAACAAAACGCAUUACCUCAUCACCUUCAUCUGCAUAUGGAGCAUUGUACGACAUAUCAACAGGAGUGGGUUGUCUGACGAGAGUAUUCUCAUUAGCCAUACUUUGGGCUGUCAAAAGCUCUAAUCUCUGAGUUUGGGCUUCAAGUUUCCGAGACAAUUCAUUGUUCAGCUCCUUCAUUCAUGAAAAGGAAAACAGUCAACAUUGCAAUUAUUAGCUGUGGCCCCUGAAAAUAAUUAUGAGCCAGACACAAACGAAUAUAUAAAAAAAAUUGAAUGACUGCUAACAAUAUGACUUGAAGAUACAUUUUGCACUAGAGUAUGAGCGAGAGGCCCAUAGAUGAUACUAUCAUUCUCAGAACCAAGUACACGUGCGAAGUGCAUAGGCCUCUUUUGCUCACAUUAUUUCAUAUUCCAUUUGUACGUUUAAUGCUUUUUCAACCAUGUAUCAACAACAAGGCCUCAACCCUAAAAUAUAUUACUCGGUCCCAAAGAAAGCCCUUUCUUGCUUAAAGUGGGCUACAUACUAACAAGUCAAAAGUCGUAGCAGACUUCUAUACUGAGUUGAAAAUUAAAAAUAUGCUACCUUCAGCUUGGAACAUUGAGAUGACUCGGAUGCCAAAGAUUGUAUCAAUUCUUCUUUCUCCAAUGCUAACUGAAAUACCAAAGAGAGUAGAAUUCAAUUUAAUGGACUAGAUUUUACAACACAAAUCUGAAGGAAAAGAAAGGAAAUAAGCCUUCAAAAGUGUAUCACUGAGAAAAUACAAGGGGUAGAUAGUUAGGAGAGGAUAUAAGGGGUGCAUGGUACCUCGGAAAUUAGUGUACUGAUGUUUUCAACUGUUUGCAUCUGAUCGGGAGGUAGAUUCACAGAUGAAAUGUCAAAAGUUGACUGUCCAUUUUCAGGCAGCAUUGGGAAACUCGAGGCAUCGCCCCCUUCCUGGCCUAAGGUGUCAGGAAUAGCGUCUUCAUUUUCCUCAACUGGUGAACACAAUACCCAGACGCACAAAGCAUAAUUAUAAAAGAAAAAAGAUUACAAAAAGGAGAAAUAGCUGUCACACUUUAGUCAUUCAUUCAUCAGUACAACUGUACAAGGCUUAUUUGUGAAACAUUAUUCUUUGUUUUUUGUGAGCAUUGAUCAGCAACUUAAAUUCCACAAAAAUAAGUAAUAAACUUGUCAUACAACGACUGCAACCACAACUCCAACUUCUGUAAAUUAAAACAGUUGAUCAGGAAUAUCAAUCAAAACAAUGAGGAGCACUUAGGUUAUCUUUGCCUAUUCCCAGAAUUCUGGGUAUCAUUUUUUCCUUUUGGAAGAUAUUGAUUAAUUAGGAUUACAAUUAAACAGAUUUUGUGUUAAUGAAAUCAGGAUAAAUCAGCAGCAAUCAGUUUAUUUCAACAGUUGUCAAAAGUGCUAAGUUGAUAUAAAAUUAAUAGAUAGAUACCAAAAGUUAUCUACAAACACAACACUAGAAAUAUUCUCAGAAUAUCAUCCAUAUAAUGCAAUCAUAAAAAAUUUGAAGAUGGAGUACUGUUCAACAUAUAAUAACACACUCAAGCACUAAUUUGAAAAACACAUGGACUAAAACCCAAAAAAAAAAAGAAAGAACCAUGGCUACGUACCAAUUAACCGGAUACAUUACGAAACUCAGCCCUUAUCAUUUGGAUAUAGAAAUAUCAAUUUAUAAGCAAAAUAUCCAGAAGAGUUGAAUUUACCUAGAUCUUCUGUAGAAGUAGACACAUCUUUGUUGUUAGUAGUACUCUUGCUGACAUCAACUUUAUUUCCACUUGUGGAGGCUUUCCGUAGCAUAGACUGCAACAGCUUCUUCUCUAUACCAGAUAAUAACACUGAAUAAGGGGUAAGAUAUGCAACCAUAAAUAAUACUAGAUAAGGGUGCAUUCACAUUAGUGGAAAGCUUAAGAAACAACUCAAUAAUUUCACGACGACCUGCCCUUAUUGGCACAAGGACCACUUAGCCACUUCACAGUCAAGAAAGAUGGAAACAACAGCAACAAAGCCUUAUCCCACUAAGUGGGGUUGGCUAUAUGAAUCCCAGAACGCCAUUGCGGUUUUGUGUCAUUUCUUCUGUUAGAUUGAAGUAGUCCAAGUCUUUUCUUAGAGUCUAUUUCCAAGUCUUCCUAAGUCUUCCCCUACCCUUUUGGCCUUGAGCCUCUGUCUCAUAAUCGCACCUUCUAACCGGAGCGUCUGUAGGUCUUCGUUUCACAUGUCCAAACCACCUUAACCGAUUCUCUCUCAUCUUAUCUUCAAUUUCAACUACUCCUAAUUUACCUCAGAUAUCCUCAUUCCUAAUCUUGUCCUUUCUCGUGUGCCCACACAUCCAACGAAGUAUUCUCAAAUGUAGGCCUAACAAGUUUCAAUAUUUAUGGACAUACACAAUACAGUUGUCCCAGCCCCUAUCGAUUAAAUUUAGGGCCUUUGCUACAUGCAACUCCCAAUAUUCAUAGCUUGUAUUCACAUUGCUAAUAUAACUAUAACAAGAAGAACAAAAAAGUUUUAAAACUUAAAAAACACAACGGAAUACAUGAUCACUUCUUUCAAAUGCAUGACUGGGAGUCUGGCUGCAUUUGUGUAUCUCACCAAUAGUUUAUAGGGCUAGUGAUGUGGUGUGGAGUUACUUCACACUCUAAGCAGUUAAAUAACCUUGCUAAAAGAAGUCGCUUAAUUAAGCUCUUAAAAUGGUGACAAUGACACCAGAAAGCAGAAAAUCUAGACCAGGAAAUUAAAAAAGUAAGCAAUUUGUCCCUGGAAAAGCCACUACAAGGUAAAUACUCUACACAGAGGUAUUUUUAUAUAGGCACACUUACCUUCCUGAAGAGCAUUGAUAGUUGACUGCAAAUCUGAACGAUCUUUUUCUAGGCUGGACAUUCUUUUCCUGCACAGAUUCAUAAAUAGUUAUCUUCAGAGACAUGUAGCUACACAGCAUGAUAAUUAUAUGUAAUGGGAGUAAGGGAAGGGGGGCCGGGGGGAGGGGGGGGGGGGAGAGGAGGAGAGGGAGAGAAAAGGUGAGGCAUCCCAUCUAACACCAUAUAAUACCAUACUUAUAAUGUGAUAACAAUAUUUUGCUAGAUAACCAGAAGCACUUUGGUCCAAAAGCACAUUGAUAAGAUCCCACCAUUAGAGGAAGAGACUUUGAAUCAGUUUCAAACUAGUCCUACUUCUUCAGGCACUUGUCAUCUCCACUCCUUGAGCAUGUGAGCAUGUCCUUUCAUAUUAUGAUGGCACAACAUUCUAUUGAAACCCGCAAGCCCAACAAUAAAGGAUGAAAAAGGUGUUCACAACUUAAUCCAUAAUCUCAUAACACAUAAUUCUACAGCUCAUUACUCAGUAGUUUGUUACAUUCAGAGCCACUGUCAAAAUUUCAGAUUUAGUUUCUAUUUUAUUUUAUAUUUCCAAGACAAGUGUAACAUUCUCCAUAUAAGAUGGGGAGUGGUAAAAUAUCAAACAAGUGAUUCAGAAUUUGUGCACAAAUUCUUAAUUUACUGAACAGAACGCUAACGUACUUGUACGACAAGAUUUCAGCCUGUGAGUUCUCCAAUUGCCUCUCCAGCUUUAGCUCACUGGACCUUAGUCUUAAUGCCUACAAAAGUAAACAUAAAAUUUGAAUUCUUUUUUAUUUUAUUUUAAAAAGCACUAUCAACGAUUCGCAAUUUCAGUACCUAACUCAUAUUAAUAUGUGCAUACGCACUCAUAUAUAAUCAUACAAGGAUAAAAUUUUAUGUUUGUCAAAAGUGUGAACAUUAAUAGUUUCAUAGCUCACAAUCAAGGGAAAAAAAAUAUCAUGAGAAUUUCUGCCUAUUAUGUCCCUUUAUUCAGACAGAAAAGCAAAUACAAUUAUAAUAAGAAAGGUUUUCUCCAGAUCAAAAAACUGAAUCAAAAUUUCUUUCUAAACUCAGUACCUAAAAUCCCAACAUACCAAGAAAAAACACUACCUUCUCCUCUAAUCCGAUAACUUCCGAUGCCAAUAGCUUAGCACGUUCAUCAGCGGCAUUACAUUCUAGCUGUGCAUUUGCAUAUUCAUUUCUGACCGCAUCAAGUUCCACCUGUUCACAUCAAGAAAUUAAAACUACUACAACAUAAAUUGAAGACGAGUCAAGUUCCACCUAUAUUAAAUAACUAAUAAAUUAGAAUGGUCCCCAGAGGUACAAGUUUGCUCUGCAAUUAUCAGUAGAAGGGGGAUGAUUGACUCUAACCAGCUGGUGUUUGAUUUCCUCCUGUAUAUUUUCCAAGUCAGAUUUUAGUUGAUCAACAACAGUUCUCUGGAGAAAAAGAAAACAGAACAACAGUUAGAAGAAAGCCGUGGGCCAUGGCACUAUCAAAUGACUUUGUCAGGGAAACACAAGGGGCAUCAUUUCGGAUGAAGUCAGCACAACCGUCUUCAUAAUAGGAUAAAUCAGGCAAAAAGAAAGUAAUACAAAGAUGUUUAGUUCACAAUUCAUCAACAAAGUAAAAGUUACACAAAUGUCAAGGUGCAAUAUCAUGUAAAGCAGAAACACCUGUUGGUUAUAACUCUCUGUCAAAGAAGAAUUUUCAGCAGCCAAUGACUCUGCUAAAGCACGUGAAGCCUCAAGUGCUCGUUGCAAAGAGAACUUUUCUUGUGUCAAAUCUUCAAUAUGCUGCAUAAUGACAAGAAAAAUACAAAAACAUGUCAACAAAAAAGUAUUCCAAAGAAACGAUUUUGCUAAGGUGAUAUCACUAUUCAAAUAAACUUAACAAGGUUAAAUCAAUUUGUUCUUUUUAUUUUGAAGUACUACAACCUGUGAUGAAUGACAAAGCCAUAUGACACUUGCAGUUCACAAUUUAUAACUGACGCAUGGAAAAUAAAACUUACUUAGUAGAUAUACCAAACAAACUUAGCAUCUAGUAAUUUAAUGUCAAACGUUCCACUGACAAAAAAGGGACAUCAUUUUUUGACGUUGAAACAGUUUUUCUUUAUCCAUGGUCAAUGAGUUUAUUUGGUGUAUAGGCCUUGGCCUAGUAUAUGUAUCUUUCUCCACUGUGCUAAAGUUGUUUAUUGUAUUCAAAGUCUCAAAAAAGGAAGUCAAAAUUUGAGAGUAUAGGAUUAUGCGCCAGCUUAGGUAAUGCACUUGAAAAGAAAGGUAUGUCCAUUCUUCAAUAUCAUACAUCCUUUUUGGUCAAUCCCAUACCAUAAAUAUCCUAGUAUCUCGAUGUUUUAUACUUUGCUAUCAUCUACAUAUCUUCACUAUAAGCUUCUAUCUAUUGCCAUCCAGUCACUACUCCCUCAAAAGUCACAACUAUGUCAUCAAUACCCCUUAUUACUCGUGAUGUUCUCUAGUAAUCAACCUAUAUUUUCAUCCAAAAGGAUGCUCAUAAAAACUCAAUGGACUGCUUUUGUCAUGCUAUGCAUCGAAGAGAGGCCAUAACAGCAGACUAUUGAAUUGAUUAAGGAUUCUCCGUGUUAAAAACUUAAAAUGGAUAAAAUAUCUGAAUAUGAGAAAGAAGUGGCACCACUGGACAUAUGUGUAAAAAUCCACCAGCUGAAAAAUAGGGACACACUACACCUGUUCCAAAGCAGAAAAAUCUUCAUUCUGAUUAGGAGAAUAAAAUUCAUGCUUUCUCUCCAUGCUAUUCCCCUCAACUGUUGGCCUCUGCUGGUCCAUCCAAGCAUUAGGAGAAAGUGAAGACUUCAUGGAAGGCUCAGAUGCAUGAGGUGCACCACUUUCAAACUUUAAAAAGGGUCUCACAGUAUCAUCAUCCAUAGAUGGCUUGUGGAAAGGCGAUGAACCUAGAAAAUUCAUGCCACUUGAUUUAGAACUGUUGGACAUAAAUGGCCCUUCUGGUUCAGGUUGUUGAGAAACAGUGCCUGAAGAAGUUUUAGACACAUUAAGAGAAUCAAGGAAGGAUGGACGAGAUCUCCGAGAAUUAGUUUCAGGUGUAACUGAAUACAAUGAUGCAUGAUUGGAGGAACUUCUAGAAUCAGAUCCAAAACCCCCCAUGGAUUCAUAUGUUUGAACUGGUGCACUCUGCCCACUAGAAAUGCUACUGGCAAAGCUGCUAAGCUUUCCUUCCCCAAAUUUAUAACUCAGAGAAUCACUUAAGUCCUCACUACUACCACGGAUGUUUUUACCAACUUCAGAAGCAAAUCCUCUUAUGCUGGGACUGGGUUCAACCAAGUCUGCCAUGACAUCUCAAAACAUAAUACAGUAAGCAUAUUCCUCAAAGACAAGAGUUGGAAAUUAUUCACAAAUACACUGAUUUUAGAUCAGAACACCAAAAACCAAAAUCCAAAAAUGUACAAUUACCUUCAUAAAGUGAAGACGGUGCAGGGCCACCAGACACUAUGCUGACAUUAGAGGCUUCACUCUGUAGUAAUGUGCUGACAGAGUUCUGAGAUGAGAUUUUUGCAACAGAUGGAUGUGAAGAACCAGAAUCCAUUAAAGAUGUAAUAUGUUCUUUGGACUGAAAUUCAUUCCUUCCAUAAGAACUGGAGUGACUUGUAUUGCCCGCAAAAUCUUGAUUUGCUUGUGGGCGUGGAGCAAAAGACUGGUCAGAUGUUGUCCCACCUAAGGCACCAGUAUAUUUUUCAAAAUCAUUACUUAUCCCAUUAGUCCCAUGGCGAUUAUUAACGGCCAGUGGUCCCCCAAACCCUAAAACACCAUAUCUCAGAUAUUCUUGAUCAGCAUGUUUCUGUACUUGAUCUCCAGAAUAUGCAUUAAACUCAGAGGUUGAAGGACUGCUGUGUGUAUUAUUAUCCACGGAAGCUUGUUCAUUUUUUUGCAAAAAAUCAAUCGCGUUGCUAUCAUUGUUCAAUAAUACAGAAGAAGUUUCAGUAAAAGCACUACUGGGCCCAUCAGAUGUACCAGCACCAUCAGAGGCUGUAACUCGUACAUGUUCAGUUUCUAGAGAUUGUUUCUCGUUUGAGCUAACUUCAGAAGCAUCGAUUUGGCUAGUGGAUGAAGCCUUCUUAGCUCGGUCUGCUGCUUUUUCUUCCGAAACUCCUCCAGCUGCAAAAGCAGAGGAAACCAAAUAUGUGUGAAAUUCUACAAUCAAAUAAAAAUAUUUGGUAUGAAAUUUGUCUCUGAAAUGACUAAAUAUUUGUUAAAGUCGAGUUUCUAAACUAAGAAAAAGUGAACUAUAGAGACCCAGAACUAAGAUUUGAUCCGUCUAUCAAGGGACCUAGAAGCUUAGAGAACUUCUUUUUGAAGAAACAAAACAAAACUUUGUCAAAGUACGGCGGAUCAUUGACACUUUAAGUUUAUUGUGCUCUUCUUCUUCCUCUUUCUUUUUCUUACCAUAAGGAGUCUGUAUAUGAAGAAUGCUUAUGAAAUAACCAUGACAGCCUAGCCUUAUAUGCAAAUUCAAAACCUACCUGUUCUACGUCUUUGUUUCUUACGUCACGUAACUAAAAUACUGCUAAAUCAGUUUGUUCCUGCUAGCUCAAAACAAGAUACAAGGGUUCAUCGUAGACACCCAGAAGCAUCAACAUUCAAUAUAUUCCCAAUAUCCCGUUCUGUUUCUAAACAUGUAACCCAAUCAAAACGGAUUCCUAGACCACAAAAAUGUGCGUUUGUAAUCGAAUUUCUAUCAUCAGCAACAAAUUAACUACAUUAUGACAGCUACAAAAUAUGAAUUACGACCGUUCACAAUCAAACUCGACAAGUGGAUUAAGAUUUGACAUGAAAAAUCAAUCAUUUCGCAUUUCGAAUUGCAUAUACAUACACAGACCCAAGCAUGCAUACAAAUGCAAAAUGAAACAUUUCGUGCGAGAUCGAAAUUGUAAUCGAAUAGAAACAUUACCCGGCGCUUUCCGGCUUCCAAAAGAUCUUGCUUUCGCGAGUUGGGCAGUACCUGAGCCGAAGCCAUUCAAUCAAUCCCCCAAAACUCAAACAAUUUCAAACAUAUCAAAUGCCCAAUUGCCACCACCGCCUCCCCCACAAACCCCUAACGAACCAAAACCCUACGUGCCAACAACAAAACCCUAAAAAAUUACAGCGUAUCCGGAUCAGGGAAUCAAGGAAUGAGGCGCAAUUCAACGCAAUUCAAACUGUCGGAUAAUUUCGAAUUGCAAAAUGUAAAAAUCGAAAUAUUGUGGGAGAAAUUGGGAAAGUAAAUAUGAAGCCCUAAUUUUUGUACGGACAGAGUCCGAUCUGAUCGGAGAGAAGGAGAGCUCGAUGAAAUUCUUUGGUUCUGGCAGAUCUCCCCCGCUUUGCUCUCUCUCUCUCUCCUCCCUCCCCCUCUCUCUCUCGCUUUUCUGUGCGUUUUGUUUUUUCAAUUUUUCAAUUUUUCAAUUGUUCAAUUUUCCAAGUUUAUUAUUUAUUUUGGUGUAUUUUGUUGGGGUAGAGUUGAAGAGAUGAUUGUUGUAAUCAAGGUAUUAAAUAUCGAUGAUAUCGGAAAUAUCGGUAAUCCGAAAACACAAAAAUAUCAAUGGAAAUAUUGGGAUAAUAUCGAUAUCGAUAAAAAUAAUAUGGAAACUACGGAAAUUGUAAGAAAAACUUGGAAAUUUUUAUUGAAACUUUGCAGGAUGUUUAUUUAGUCAAUUAUCUAUUAGUUUAUCAUAAAAAAUUGGAAGGAAUGCAUUGCAUGAUGGAUUUAACAUUAUCAAGUUGAUUAUUUAGCGAGCUGGCAAACAUUGUGAGUGUAGAAAAUAUGUAGUAAUUAAUGAAAAAAAUUUAAACACACCAUAAUCAUUUAUAUAUAAUGAAUUAGUACAAUAUUUUACACUUUAUACAUUGCAUGGUAAGAUACAUGAGUGACUUAGUACCACAUAGAGUUCCUAUAAGGUUCAAAUUUUUCACCAUCUUCAUCAUCUCUAUGUGUAGAGUGAGUGUAUUGUGAAGAGUAGUUAUCAAAUGAUAAAUCCCCAAAAUAGUUUUGCAUGUAAUUGUUAACAUGCCACCUAUAUGGAUCCGAGAUUGGUUGACCUUGUCCAUAAGCAAAAUCAUUUGAAGAUUGAGUCUCGGAUUGUUUCCAUAAGUCACUCGAUUUCAUCCCAACAGGAAUGGGAUAUGAAGGGUAGGGAAAUGGUUGGUUAUGAGUAUAACCAUAGUUACUACUUCCCACUCCAACAGAGUCCGAAGUUAUAGAUAACGAGUCAUCUUCUUGACUUGACAAAAUCCCCUUGCCUCUUUCUCUACGAGUACAGUCCUUCCCUAUGGCACCAAUUCCUGGUCCUGCCCGCCUACUGCCAUGGUCCUCAUCCUGUGUUACAUGCGUGAAGUUUGCCUCACCAGUGAAGGGGCUCAUAAAUUCGGGAGAUGGUCUAACAUAGUUUCCAUAUCCACCACCAAUACCUCCAGCUUCACUAUAUCCUUCAUCAUUCCCACCUCCAGUGGUAGGUGAGUCUCCUCCUGAUCUCGUACUAAAGCUAUCAUUAGUAUCAGCACGAUGUUGUGGUUGUGUAGGAUUGGAAGAAGGUGGAAUUCCAGUGUUUCUUGGUCUUGGUCGCAAAAGUUCUUCCAAAGAGUCAGCGCUGCUAGAUCACACCUCCUCCGCUAAUCCUCUUUCUACAUUUAUCCCUUUAUUACGUGUUUCUUCAGCAACUCUGGGAGCUGGGUUGCCUUCAUCAUCAUCUAAAUGAAGAGGUCUAAUCCAUUGAUAAAGUUGGUUACCCUCUGUAUCAUCAUCUUCAGCAACAAUAUCAAAUACAUCUAGUGGGUCACCACGGUCAACAUGAUCUAUUUCUGCUUCCUUAUCUCGAAUUUAAAGCUUCAUGUUGUAGUAGCAAUAAACUAAUUUUUCCAACCGACUAUGAGCCAAUCUAUUUCUUUGCUUUGUGUGUAUGAGUACAAAUGUGCUCCAAUUUCUUUCACAAGCAGAUGAGGAAGCUGUUUGUGAUAAUACUUUGAUUGCUAACUUUCUCACAGUUGAUGCAUCAGUCCCAUACAUGAUCCACCAUUCAGCUACAAUGAAAAACAAUGUUGAUAAGCCUAAUAACUCCAACAAAUUCUUAUCGUGAAAUAUGUUUACACUCACUAGGAGACAUUUUUGUUCGAGCGGCAAUUGAUGUUGGUUCUCCAAAAGUUCUUCUUGCAUCUUUAAACCAUGUUAGCUGAAUUCAAUAAAUCGUGUUAGUUUAAUCCAACAAAGUAAUUAUUAUAAUUUAAGUAAUUAUGUACCUCAUUUCCAAAUUGGCCAACUGUUGGUGAUGCAGGGUUUAAUUUAGAGUAUACAUUAUGUACAGCACGUAUAAAGGUACCAUCAUCUCCAACACCGGGUCUGUAUUGGUAUCGAGGAUUCAAAUAAUAUGUUGUUCAAAGAAACACAUACUCUAAUAAGAGAAAUAAUACUUAUGCAACUAAAGAAAUGAAUUGCAAAUUAUGACAUAAUUUAUACUUGCUGCAUGCAAAUCGUGGUAUAAUGUUUUAUACCAUCGGUCUUCAAUUAUUUUUAUGGCCCACCUUGCACCAUGUUUUCUUUCCAAUUCAUUUUUCACUACACGCAUCAACUCAUUUAUUGCCCCUAUAGUAGGAUACACUUCUGUGUCAACGAUCCGUAAAACUUUGUAAAGAGGUUCAAACACUUGGCACACAUGUUCUGAUUGUGGUUGGCCUAAUUGUCACUAGUGAGUAGGUGCUUCAACCCUGCUUUCUUCUUAAGUAGGCUGUCUAAUGCAAUAUAGUUGGUGGCGAAUCGAGUGGUAGCUGGACGAAUAAUGUCUCCUUUGCAAAAUUCACGCAUCUUUGCCAACAACCAACCGUGAUUGUAAAUAUAAUUUGUGAUCGUUCUAGCUCUUUUUACCACAGUAGCAACAUUCUCUUUCUUCCCCAUUGCCUCAAACAUGAGAUCAAUACAAUGUGCUACACAUGAUGUCCAUAACAUAUUAUGAUGCUUCAUUAACUUUUUUCCAGCUUUGACAAAUGCAGAACCGUUGUCGGUCACGACUUGGACAACAUUAUGUUCUCCCACCUCCAUGAUUACAUCCCUCAAUAAUUUGUAAAUAUACUUGUAGUUCUUUAUAUGGUCUGAAGCAUCAACAGACUUCAAAAAAAUUGUCUUUCCCUUGGAGUAUACCAUGAAGUUUAUGAUAGACAAUCUGGUCGGGCCAGUCCAUCCGUCACACAUGAUUGUGCAACCAUUAGUUUCCCACUUCGACCUUAACUUGUUAACAUACUCGCCAAUGUUUUUAUACUCCAUAUCCAAAUAUUUGUUUCUUAUCUCAUAGGGAGUGGGAGAUUGUACUCCAACAUUGGCCUGUUGACAUCCCACUACCAUAUUUUUGAAAUGAUGUGAUGAUGCUUUCUCAGCAAGGACAUUUUUCAUAGAUAAAGAACUUGCUAAUUAGACGCCCCAUUCCCUCCUUCACAUUACCUCGAGUGAAAUAACUCCAAACACUCUAUUGACGUGCUUUGGAUGACUUAUAUAAACUUGGGACUAUUGGUGGUGUUGGUUGUGAUUCUCUAAGACUGCCUCCCCAUCUCAUUUGUGCACCACUACUUGUCCCGGAACCUUGUACUCUAUUAGGAAUUUUAUGAAGGUGUUCUCUUUCCCAUGCUGACUGUUUUGAGGCACGUAAUGCUUGUUUCAAACUGCGUCGUUCUUCAGGUCCCAUGUCAUCAUCACAUUCGUCCUCAUCGUCAUCAUCAUCAUUGUCAACCGCUUGGCCAUAGACUUCUCCUCGUAGCCCAACUCGAAUAUUUUCCAUUCCAUGAGUUAUCUUUUCCUUCUGCUGUUUUUUAUUUUUUAAUAAUGUGCUGAUGAAUGCCUUCACUUCUGGGGGGACAUUAUCGCAUCGUUGGACAUUUUUUGCUGGAUCUAAUCCACUAAGAUGGUACUUAAGUCGUGUCACUCCACCACUCUUCAUUACCCGACCACAAUAUUUGAAAAUUGUGCCAUAUUUGUUUCCGUCUAUUGGGUCUCCAUGUUCCCAAGCUGGAUCACGUUUAGUAACUUCACUGGACAUCUUAAACGUACCUAUAUUUAUUUUUCAUGAAAAUUAGACAAUUAUUUUUUGGCCAAAAAAUAUAGUAGUGAUGACGGUUAUAUAAGAGAACCUAAAUAAUAAAGUUAUUCUACAAAAGAAUUAAAUAUGAAGUAAAGAAAAUGAUUGUAAAAAUUUAAGUAAUUAUAAAAAUAAUAUGGAAUAAUAAAACCUAAUAUUAAUGAAUAAUAAUCCAAUUUGAUAAAAAAUAAUCCUAAUAUAAAACAUAGUGAUGAAUAAUAAUCCAAUUUGAUAAUAAUCCAAUUUAAUAAUAAUCCAAUUUAAUGAAUAAUCCAAUUUGAUAAUAAUCCAAUUUAAUGAAUAAUAAUCCAAUUUGAUAAUAAAAAAAACCUAAUAUUAAUGAAUAAUAAUCCAAUUUGAUAAUCAAACCUAAUAUUAAUAAAAUAAUAAAUAACAUUAAACAUAUUAAAAUUAUCCUAGGGAAUAAUUAUACAACAUUACUUAAUUGCUUAAAAAAAUUAACAUGUAAUUGUUAACAUUACUUAAUUACUUACAAAAAUUAACAUGCAAGUAUUAAUUACUUAAAAAAAAUUAACAUACGAGUCCACACAAAUUUUUUUGUUGUUGUAUAAAUUACAAUAAUAUAAAUAUAAGUUUGUAACUUACUUUAAAUAUGGAACCUUUGUGUUCAAGCUCUGGAAUGGAUCUGGAAUGGCUUUGAAAGGGGUAAGGGAAGAAGAAGAAACAAAAAUGCUCUGAAUGACUUUGAUACUCCACCUUCGAGAAUGUGAAAGAAUAUCACAGACUCACAGUGGCACACGGUUUUGAAUGUGAAAGAAUAUCACAAACUCACAGUGGCACACGGUUUCAUUAUGAAAACACUAUUAUUUUUGUCCAUGGUCUGUGAUUGUAAAAGUUGUCAGGUGAGUGUGAGUCAGAUGACCCAACCACACACACACCGACACACACACACACCGACACGCCACCACACACGCACACAACACAACACACGCACACAGUCUCUCUCUCUCUAUCAUUCUCUCUUCUUCUCUGAUCUCCCUUCUCCCCCUUCUCCAUUCUCCCACACACACACAGAGAUCUCCCACACACAUGCACAGAGACCCAAGGUCUCUCGAUCCUUCUCCCACACACAUGCACAGAGACCUAAGGUCUCUCGAUCCUUCUCCCACAUCGCCUUUUGCUCCUCCCUCGUCGGUGUCGUCUCUCUCCUUUCUCUCUGCACCGAGGGUCUGAGACCCAUAUACACACACGCACACCAUCGCACCUGCUUCAGGAAGACACCUAUCAUCAUCAGCAACCUCGUCUUUCUCCCUUUCAUUCUCGUCUCUGCAACUCGGCGAACGCAGGAACUCCGGCGAGGUUCUUGAAUUUCUCCGGUUAGGUAAGCUUCGGGUUUGCCUCUUUCUGUUCUAGAUUGAAGCUUAUAUGUGAAAUUUAAGUUCAAAAUCGUGUUUUUGCAAGGUUUUUGGGACGAAAUCGGCUCGGGAAUAGGCACACCCAUCUCCGGCGAUGCCGUGGGUGUCGACGAACUUUCCGAACACCUCCGACCGUUUCACGGCAAACGGACUUUAUAAAAACAUUCAUCUCGUCUUCUAUCUCAUUUUGAUACCUAGAUCGGAGUCUAGGGUGCUCUUUUACAGUCGGCUGGAGCUGUAAAAUCUCCGGCGUUCUUCUCCGAUUAGCACAGUUCCAAAAUAUCGCGAUAUUUUGACGAAAACCCGUUGGAUACCUAUUAAAAUAUUGUUACCGUGAAAAACCGAUAAUAUCGACGAAAUAUCGCCGAUAUUAUCGGCAUUUAAGACCUUGGUUGUAAUGGACGUUUUUCAGCUGUCAUAAUUGGCAACGUCUAUGGGAGUGGUACUACCAAAUCUUGGACAUUAUUUCUACACUAAAACCCCAACCAGCGUGCACUGUUCAUAGACAGUGCGCGGACAAAAUGCCCUCCAAAUAUUUGUCUCAUAAUGGUUUUUAUCGUCUUUUGUACAGUGAAAGGUUAGUUUUGCCCUUUCGAUUCCAUGCGUCCGUCAUCGCUCCAUUUUCUGUUUGAUAUUUUUCCUCAUCUUCUUGACUCUUCUACUUCAUUCCGCUUUUUGUUAUCCAAUCCAAAAAAUCAGAUCGCUCCAAAGCUCUACUUCCAUUACAACUUCUACAUUGUUCCUUUCGUUUUCACUCUCUCUCAAAUCUCUGCUUCUGUCGCUCUCAAACUCCUUCUAACUAUCACAAUUGCUUCACCAGAUCCUCUCAGCAUAAAAUUAGUUUCAUUAUUGUCCUUGAACCCUAAUCUUUCUCUUCUGUCUCUAAAAUCCAUCUGAAAAAGGUAUAAUGGGUAUUGUUUCUAUCUGCAGGUUGUACUCGGAGAAAUAUGUGAAGGGCCAAUAAGAAAAGGUGGAUUGCGUGUCAAAGUGCCAAAAAUACAGGGCCUACCUCUUUAUGCGUUUCCAAUCUUCUAAAAAUCAUGUUCGUGGAGGUGAUCUGACACAGAUUUCAAGCUCGGCUACAGAGAUUUGAUUCACAUGGGGGAUCUAGGUAAGAAAUAAGGAACCCUAAUAUUUUCUUUUGGUUUUAAGAGAACUAUCAUAAAUUCCUUUUGAGGUGUUUGUGAUUCCAAAUGUAAUACUUUUCUUCAACUCAUCCCUUUCCCAUGUAGCAAAUCACAACUCUAAAAUAUUUUAACUAAUUAAUUAAUUAUGAUAAGCUUUUUAGAGAGUACUACUUGGAUUUGAAGUUUGAUGGGCUUGGAUUCUUGGCGUAUUCUCUAUUGUUCACUGCUAACAACUGGCUUCCGUUUGCUAUCUCGGAUUGUGUUUACGACUUAUUGCAAAAUUGAGUUUUCUUGCUUUUGUUGUUGUUUUAAAAUUCAUAACUUACUGCAACUAAAUCUUUUGGUUGGUUUAUGUUUUAGAAUUCAUAAUAUACUACAAAGCUUUAUUAUGUCUAACUUUCUUUGUUUUUUUGCUUUGUAUGCAAUUCGAUUUGACCCACUGUAUGAGCACCCUCUUAGAAAUUUAAUAAUUUAAAUAUUAGUAUUAUUAAUAUUUAAAUAUUAAAUAUUCAAGUGAAUGAAAAUUAAAGUGGAAAGAUGGAUUAGUCUUGAACUGCCUAUAUAUUAGUAGUCAGCAAUCGUUCCCUUUAAUUUUAUUUUGUCUUGAAAGUGGUCACAGUAUGGGCUUGACCAUUUAAUUUGGUUUGAAUUCAAACAAGAAUAUAAUUGCCUUAUAACUGCCUAUUUGGAAAGACACAUCAGUUAAACAAAAGGCACUGACACAUGUGUUGUAUCAGGCACCUCAUUUGUUUGAACCACUUGAAUACCUGAAAGGUUUCCUCCAACCUUUUCACAAGGAUGGGAUAUGAUUGUUGAGCAAAGGUUGCAUCCUUUGUCUUUUGGAAGCAAACGCAACCUUUGAAAAUUAGGCAUGUCAAUGCCUAUAAAUAGACUACCAAGUCAAGCAUUUUAGAUAUAGUUUUGCAUCUAGAAAUCAUUUAGAAAUUAGAGUAGUUUAGCGUCUGAUAAAGAGAGAGUUUUAAACACUUUUGGUUUGCUGUUCUUUAAGGAUUGGAGUGCUACAUCCGCAAAGAGAAAGAUCGUUGUAUCUUGGGAGACAUUUGCUAAUGCAAACCUUGAGGCAUCACUGAGGGGCAAUCUUGUCUUAAGGCUAUAGAAUCAAAUUCUAGCCUCGAUCUCUUAAGGUUUUUCUAUUCUUUGUUCUUCUUGCAUUUGUAGAGAUUUUAUUGUGUAUUAUUUAAUAGUUUAUAAUAAAAUAUAUAGUAGUUUUUCUAAAGCUUUUUCCAACAACUUAAGACAAGACUUUGUUUUGUUAAAUUGUUAUAUUAUAUUAGCGAAGUUUAAUUAAAUAAUCUUGUGGGUUACAGUGUUAAGAAACUAAAGUCUAUUUGAUUCAUAAUACUUUGUUGCUUUUACUUUAAUUAUAAUAUAUUGAAUUGUGUGAUUUUCUCUCUCAAGGGAAAAUGGAUGAUACUAGUAAUUCUUCUAGUAAAUUGGGCAGCACGUCAAUUGCGAGUGUUGUGCCUGUGGUGAUCCCAACUUCCACCAAUCAUGGUGAGAAGCCUGAGAAGUUCAAUGGGACAAACUUCAAGAGGUGGCAACAGAAAAUAUUAUUUUACCUCACCACUCUGAACUUGGCAAAGUUUCUGACUAAAGAUGUGCUUGUGUCUGGAACAACUCCAAAAGACUUGGUUGCAAUACAUGCAUGGAACCAUUCUAAUUUCCUUUGCAAGAAUUACAUUCUCAAUGCAUUAGAUAAUACACUAUACAAUGUGUAUAGUCCAAUUAAAAAUGCAAAAGCGUUAUGAAACUCUCUUGACAAGAAAUAUAAGACUGAAGAUGAUGGCAUGAAGAAAUUAUGUCGCUAAGUGAGACCUUUCAAGUACUUGCAGUAAUUGAAAAAUUACCUCCUACUUGGAAAGAUUUCAAAAACUAUCUCAAGCAUAAACUCAAAGAAAAGGGACUUGAGGAUUUAAUCGUAAGAUUAAGGAUUGAGGAGGAUAAUCGUGGCUAUGAAAAGAAGUCUAACGGCCAACUUAUGCAAGCCAAGGCACACAUUGUGGAGGGUGGGUUAAAAAAUAACAAAAAGAGAAAGCACUCUGGUGAAAGUUCAAGCUAAGGGAAUUCUAAAAUGUUCAAAGGCAAGUGCUUUGUUUGCAACAAGAUAGGACAUCGUGCUAGUGAAUGUCGAAACCGCAAAGGCUAAGACAAUUCCAAAAAGAAAAGUAAUGAAGUACACAUAACCAAGCAAGAGAGGUUGUCCAAUGAGAUUGUUGACAUAAAUCUCGCGGCCGUUGUAUCUGAAGUUAACAUGGUGGGAAACACUAAGGAAUUGUGAGUUGACACUAGGGCACUCGCCGCAUCUGCUCAUAUAGAAAAAUGUUUACCACUUAUCAAGAAGUUACUCAUGGAGAGAAACUGUUCAUGGGGAAUUCUUCUACAUCCAAGGUUCAAGGCCUAGGAAAGGUAAUUCUAAAGAUGACUUUUGGAAAGAAACUCACUCUUAACGAUGUGCUUCAUGUGCCUGACAUUAGAAAGAAUUUAGUCUCCAGACCAUUGUUGAGCAAGAAUGGUUUUCGUUUGGUUUUUGAGUCAUAUAAAUUUGUACUAACAAAGAGUGGAAUGUAUGUUGGGAAAGGAUAUCUCAGCGAUGGUCUUUUCAAAAUGAAUGUAAUGACUGUUGUACCCAAAAUUAUCAAUAAAGUUAAUUCUUCUACUUAUAUUGUGGAAUUGCCAAAUAUAUGGCAUGGGAGGUUGGGACAUGUAAAUUAUGAUACUAUACGUAGGCUAAUUAACAUGGAUCUAUUACGUAAAGUUUCAUAUUGAUUUAAGUCAUAAAUGUGAAACUUGUGUGGAAGCAAAGUCAACUAAAGCACCUUUUCACUAUGUUGAAAGAAAUAUAGAACAUCUAGAAGUAAUUCAAAGUGAUAUUUGUGAUUUAAAGUUUGUGCAAACUAGAGGAGGCAAGAAAUAUUUUAUUACUUUCAUAGACGAUUGCACAAGGUACUGCUAUGUGUAUUUGCUAAGAAGCAAAGAUGAAGCCUUAGAAGUGUUCACAAAUUAUAAGAACAAAGUUGAGAAUCAACUUAGCAAAAAGAUAAAGGUUAUAAGAAGUGAUAGGGGAGGUGAAUAUGUUGCACCAUUUUCUGAAUUUUGUACUUAGCAAGGGAUUAUUCACCAAACUACUGCUCCUUACUCACCCCAACAAAACGGAGUUGCUGAAUGCAAAAAUCAUACAUUGAAAGAAAUGAUGAAUGCUAUGUAGAUAAGUUCUGGGGUGGCCCAAAAUUUGUGAGGAGAAACAUUGCUUUCUGCAAACCACAUUCUCAAUAAAUUACUUCAUAAGAAAGUUAGAUAAGACACCUUAUUAUGGAAAGGCAGAAGGCCUUCUUAUAAAUUUCUCAAAGUUUGGGGGUGUCUAGUUAAGGCAACGGUCCCUGAUCCAAAAAAGGUUAAAAUAGGACCUAAAACCAUUGAUUGUGUUUUCAUUGGUUAUGCCAUAAAUAGUAGUGCAUAUUGGUUUCUUGUACAUAAAUUGGAUAAUCCAUAAGCACAUGUUAAUACUUGAAUCAAGAAAUGCUACAUUUUUUGAAAAUGUACUUCCAUGGAAAAUUGCACAAGAACAAAGUUCUUUGAAAAGAACUUAUGAUGACUUUAAUAGCAGUCAUAAAGAAAGUAAUGAUAAUUAUGUAGACCGAGAACAUGUACAAGAAAUUGAACCAAGAUGUAGUAAGAAGACUAAGAUAUCAACGUUUUUUGGACCUGAUUUUCUGACUCACUUAUUAGAAAAAUGAGUCUCAAAUGUAUAAGCUAUAUCCUCUCCAGAAGCUCCAUUUUGGAAAGAGGCUAUUAAUGCUGAAAUUGAAUCCAUCAUGCAAAAUCAUACAUGGGAAUUGGUGGAUCUUCCUCCUGGAAACAAACCUUUAGGUUAUAAAUGGAUAUUCAAAAGGAAGAUGAAAGCAGAUGGAUCUAUUGACAAGUACAAAGCAAGACUUGUCGCCAAAGGUUAUAAGCAAAGAGAAGGCUUAGACUAUUUUGAUACAUAUUUGCCAGUCACGAGGAUAACAUCCAUCCGUAUGUUGAUUGCUAUUGUUGCAGUUUAUAAUCUUGAGAUUCAUUAAAUGGAUGUCAAGACUGCUUUUCUAAAUGGUGAUUUGGAUGAGGAAAUUUAUAUGGAACAAUUUGAAGGUUUCAUAGUGCAUAGCCAAGAGAGAAAGGUAUGUAAAAUUGUUAAAUCACUUUAUGGUUUAAAGUAAGCACCUAAGCAAUGGCACCAUAAGUCUGAUACUGUAAUGUUGUCAAAUGGAUUUAAAAUAAAUGAGUGUGACAAAUGUGUUUACACUAAAAACACACAAGAGGGAUAUGUCAUUGUGUGUCUAUAUGUCGAUGAUAUGGUAAUUAUUGGGAGUAAUCAUGAGAUUAUUAAAUUUACCAAAAGAAUGUUGGCCAGUAAGUUUGAUAUGAAAGAUAUGGGAGUUGCAGAUGUUAUACUAGGAAUCAAGAUUUCUAGAACGUCUGAAGGACUAAUUUUAUCUGAAUCACAUUAUAUUAAGAAAAUACGUACAAAAUUUAGUAAUUAUGUAAGCAGUCCUGCGAAAACACCAUAUGAUGUCAAUUUGCAUUUAUCAAACAAUAGUGGUCAAUGUAUAUCUCAAAGUGAAUAUGCACGAAUAAUUGGUAGUCUAAUGUACAUUACAAAUUGUACACGUUUGGACAUUGCAUAUUUAGUUAACAGAUUAAGUAGUUAUAUGAGUAAUCCUGGAAAGGAUCACUGGAAGGCAAUUGCAAGGGUUCUUGGUUAUUUAAAACGUAUGCAAAACUAUAUAUUGGACUUCACAAGAUAUCCAGCAGUACUUGAAGGCUAUUGUGAUGCAAACUGGAUAUCUGAUACACAAGACUCGAAGUCCACGAGUGGAUAUGUUUUUAUGCUGGGAGGCGGAGCCAUUUCAUGGAAAUCCUCUAAACAAACGUGUAUAGCUGGAUCCACUAUGGAAUAUGAGUUCAUUGCUUUAGACAAAGCAGGGGAAGAAGUUGAUUGGCUUCGUAAUUUCUUACAAGAUAUUCCUAAUUGGCCAAAGCCAGUGCCCGCCAUAUGUAUACAUUGUAAUAGUCAAUCAGCAAUUAGAAGGGCACAAAAUCAUAUGUAUAAUGGUAAGUCCCCACACAUACGUCGUAGACAUAAUACCAUUGGGCAACUUCUCUCAAGUGGUAUAAUUACCAUUGAUUACAUAAGGUCAAAAGAAAAUAUAGCAGAUCCGUUUAUUAAAGGUUUGACUAGAGAGAAAGUUUAUAAAUCAUCGAGGGGAAUAGAUUUAAAGCCUAUGUUUUAAGAAUCGCCAUAAUGGUAACCCAACCUAGCUAACUAGAGAUCCCAAGAUCUAGGUUCAAGGGGACAACUAAAUUGUGGAUGAUUCAAUGGAAGCACUGCGGAGAUAAUUUCCUACCCAUGCCCUGUGGUGAAACAAUGCUAUCUGCAGCGUAUUUAGGAUAAACUUUGCUUUUAAUGAUUCCUAUACUUGGAAAUAACAAGUGGGGUAUUGUGCAGGAUACUCUUAAUGGGAUAUCACCUACAUGAGUGUGAAAAAUGGCUGUUUCUAUGAGAAUUAUAAGAUUGAAUUCUCUAAAGCACUCAUGAUUACCGGGAAUUUUUCAGGGCCAAAACGAACACAACCGUAGAAUCAUAUAUGUUCAGAGGAAUACCAUGUGAAUCUUAUUGUAUUGGUUUACAUCAAACGGUUAAGCAGUUCAAGACAUCGCAUUCACUGAUUAGCUAGUAAUCCGAUAAUAUUUCACUAAGGAAGGUUCAAAACCAAAAGCUACCUCUCCCCAUAAGGUAUUUGUCCAAUUAAACUCUCUCUAAGUGUGUGCAUCUUCAUUUGCAUUAAAUUUUGGGACAGAAAUAGGAUUUUUUUUAAUAUACAUAGAGCAUGCACACGCCAUGCACAGUUAUUGGACAGAAAUAUGAUUUUUUUACACCUUGAAAUGACCUAAUUACCCUCCCAUAUAAAUGGGAUACCCAAAAACUUGCAACCCUCAUUUUUUAUUUUGUAGAGAGAAACAGAAAGGAGAGAGAGGAAGCCUCUCUCGCCUCCCCUACCGCAUACGACCUAGAACAUGAACAACGGCACAGCUAAAUCCCAUAUUCCAUUUUUCCUUGGUUUCUGCUUCUCACCUCUUUUUUUUCUUCAUAAGGAAACCUCUGUUGCCUCCCUCACCUUCUUGUACUCCGUCGGUAACCUGGAACAUGAACAUCCGCAUAGGUAAAACUCUUCUUCCACUUUCCCUGCUUUUUGCUUCUCAGAAUCUUUACGACUCUUUUUUUCUUCAUCUUCUUUUUAUGUUUGGCUUAAAUUCUACAAAUUGUUGUAUAUUUGUAACGAAAUUUGAUGCUUUGAUCUGUGGAAAUGUGCAUGAGUUUAUUGUGAUUUGUUGUUUGGUUGCACUUUUGAAGAAGUGAUUUUGUUAGAGAAAGUUGAUUUUAGUUGAUAUGUGAAAUUGAAUUCUAGGUCAUUAGAAUUUGGGAAUAAUUUUGGUACCUUUGGUGGAGUUGUGUGAAUUGAAACUUAUUUAUACAGUUUGUUAUGAUUUCCAUUUUCCAAAAUUACAUCUUGGUAUUUGUGGAUAGUUGGGAUGAUUUUGUGCAACUUAUGUAUAGCUUCUUUAAUAUUGAGAUUCACAUUGGAUUAUAAAAAUGUUCAAAACUCUUGAUUUGAGAACGGUUUUGAAGGAUAUACAUAGUUGUACAAAUUUGUUUUUAUAAAUUUUUUUUUUUUAUGCGGUCUCAUGUCAUUUUAGAUGGAUGGUUAUGUUCUUGGAUUCAAUAGAUUAUCAUAUGCUAUCAGAUUUAACGAUGCUUUCAACGUCUUGAGAAAUAUGAGCUAGAAAGGUUCGGUUCCAGUGGCUACUAUUGUAAGCUUCAAAGCUUUUAUUGAUGGCCUUUGUAAGGCUUAUGAGGAAUGACAUUUAUUAGGUUAUGUUGACAAUUUGAAUGUUUUAGCCUUUAUUGAAGGUUCUUAUGAAAGACAAACCGAAGAAACUUGGCACAAUAUGUAUCUAAAUGAAUAUUUUCGUUUAUUUUCUUAUAUCGUUAGUAAAUUCGUUACUCGAUUCUUUUAUGGGGUUUUCCUAUCCAUUUCGAUUUCUUGUCUCUUUUGUCGCUCUUAUGACUAAUUUACUAAUGAGGAAUGUUGUCAGGAUUAGUGAUAUUUCAAAAUUUGUUUUUUUUUGUACGUUUCAAAUUUGCAUAUUGUGAGCAUCUAAUGAGCAUGGUGUGUACAUGUUAUGUGCAUGGCUCGAUCAUGUUCUGCACAUUAAAGGAGGUCAAAAUUGGGUUUCUGCUCAAUUAUUGUAGUGUAGUUUUGACAUAACACGAUUAACGAUGACACAGAAUUCGGAAGAAGUAUCGCAUCCCACUAUGUAAAAGGCCUCAGGGUUGCAGCACUAGAUGCAGCGAUUGAUGAAGGUUGAAACUUUGUUAGAUGUGCCCCAUGAUCCAAGCGGGUGGACGGUCUCAAAGUUUGUAAUAUUGAUGUGUUGGUAGAUGCAAGGGUCUUCGGCUAUUUCCUUGAACUUCUUUAAGACCAUCUUCGCCGAAAAGAGGUCCCUUAACAAGUGGGAAGCAACGAUGAUAAGAAUUUUUAGAAUAACAUCAUCAAAAACAUAUUGCAUAGAGGAAGAGGUGGUGUGGCCUUUCUUCAUCAUUUUCAACUUCUGAUUUUUUUUAAGAGGAUGGAAAUUGAACUUGUGGUUUUGUAAUGAAAUACAAAACCACAAGACAACUUAAUUAAAUAGAUGGAGAAUCAUGUCAUUCAAAUGGUGCAACUUCCCAUCACAAAAAAGGUCGUUCAAAUGGUGCAACUUCCCAUGACAAAAAGUAACUUCUUAUGUACGUAAUAAUUCAAAAACAAAACCACCCAAUACCAUUAUAGAAGUAAAUUAAAGAUAACCGCCCUCCACGCAUGUGCAUUAUAUGCACAAUGCAUGCGCACUGUAUCCACAUACUAUGCACACUGAAUGAUCUCCUAUGGUCUUGAUAUGCACACUGCAUGUUGCGUCUUGAAUACUAAAAACAUAUAAUCUGGAAUUGGAAAAAUUAACAUUUUCCAAAACCCUUUUCGGUCAAAUUAAGUACCUAAACAAAACAUUAAUUAAAACCCACUACUUUUGUAAUAUAUUAUUAUUAAACAUUGGGAAAUUUAUGAGUUGACAUGUGGAAAAAGCACAACUUACACAUAUUGAAUGUAAUGCACACCUCAAGCAGUUAGGACAAGACAUAAGGGUCAUGCAUAUCACAUCUACACCACAUCUACCUUGUCUUGUCAAUUUGAUAACUAGUUUGCCAACCAAUCCAUUUAGAAACAAAGCAUGGAAGAUAAAAGUUUCUAUCCAAUUUGCACUUUCUUGUUUGCGAUUUCACUAAUAUGAGAAUGGUGCAUUUUUGAAGAUAUGAAACCCUAAAAUAAUAGGGUAAGUCUCGUCCCUUUUGGAGCCUAGUCUUGAAGAGAAUCCCAAGGCCAACAUGCUAAUGCCGACUGGGUUUACAGUAAUAUGUGGAAAAAAUUUGAUUUUUGACGUGGUACAAUACUGGGUAUUUUCUAAUUUGUGUUUCAGUUCAAUUGCAAAAAUUUCACAAAAUUUUCCCGAUGUAUGCAUACGACAUGCAUAUGUUGUGCAAGUUGUGUACAUAAGGUGUUUAUGUCUUGCGCAUGGCAUAUUAUGUGCAUAUGAUAUUAUAAGGUGAUAUGCAUAUUAUGUGCAUUUAAUGUUCAUUUUGUGUGCAUGUUAUGUGCAUAUAACAAGGAUACAUAGUACGCAUGUUUAUUAUCAUAAAAUGCUUAGCUAAUACAUUGCACAACAAUAAAAUAUAAUAUAAUCCCAUUAUGGUUGAUGUGGUUCCUUUCCAUUUGCUAGUUGACAAUAAUCCUUAAAGCUCUUGUUGCGUUCCUCCUCUAUUUCGGUUUUUCCCUCCCAAGAACGCUCGUACAACUCAACAUGGCCCUGAUGCUUCUGGAACCAUUCAAAAUUUAGGAAUGUGAUCCUUUCUCCAAACGUUUCAGCCUUCGUUUUCUGCUUGCUUGCACGGUAGAAUGCUUGGUUGGCUUCACCAUUGAGGUCCACAAGCUCUUUUUCUGCCUUAAUUAGCUUGUGGUUCUAAUCUAUACAAGGGUAGCCCGAGUUAUCCACAUAUGGAUAUUCAGAAUGUAAAGUUUAUCCUUUUGCAUUGAAGAGCAUGGUUGGUCCCUAGGGAGACGCAAUUCUUGCGAUAAGUCCCUAAGGGCGCGAUCUUCUUUUGAAAUGCAGGUGUGAUCAGUUGUUGUAAGCAUGCAGUUGAGCCAAGUUGUAAAUUCCUUCUGAAUUCCUCAUUGAAAAACGAGUGAAACGAACGAAAACUUAGUUGUAAAGUAGAAACUGCAUAACAACUAGAUAGUCCUCGACUUGAGAGGUGGUGCCCGUCGAACUGCUUAAGUCUUCGGGCUUUGAUUUAGCAGGAUGUCACGCAUGGUACUUCCUCAGAUUAUAGGCGUUCCAUUGCUUUUCAAUCUCUUUGUCGUUCAUGGUGGCGAGGGUGUAACUACCAUUAUCGCCUACUCUGUCGAUAUUGUACAAACUUUUUCAGAUGGAAUCCAUCUUUUUGGAGCCUUUUCUACGGGUAGUGAUAAAGGCUUUUCUCAGGACUAGAUCUCCAGGCUGGAAUUGCCGGAUCUUGGCACUUUUGUUAUAGCUGGAGAUGAGCUACUGCUGGUAGGCUGCGAUGCGGGUCAUGACCUUCUCGCGUUCCUCCUUUACCAGAUCUAGAUUUGUGGCCAUCUCAUUUCCAUUAUGCUCGAUGCUUGGUAGCAGAUUGUUGAUACUUGGCACGAUGACAUUGGGAAGAACGAUUGCUUCUAAACCUAUUUGGAGCCAAAAUUACACAAUUGGCCCAGGUAAUCGAGGCCUUUGAGUGAGUGAAGUUCUAAUCGUUAGAUGGCUUAGUUAGGAUAAUUUUUAGUUGUUAUUAAGGAAUAAUAUUGUGAUUUUUUUGUCAUGAUAAUAUCCUUUAAUAAUAUAUUAAAUUAGUUAGACUUGGUUUUAUCUAAAAAUCUAGCUGUUUGAUUUGUAUUCCAAGGUGUUACAGAUUUUCUUCCACGCGUGAUGCAUAUGCGUGUGGGUGAAGGACUUUCCAUGCAAUUCGUGUAUGCAUGGAGUGAUCAGCACAAUGACACUUAAAAGGGAUUAGCAUGUUCUGCAUGGAUGAAGUUGGAACUUGACCAAGCAAAGAGUUGGUGAUGAUUAUCAUUGAAAAGUGAUAAUCAUGGUGCCGUCUGAAGGGAGGUAUAAUUUGAAAUGGACAAUGUCUCUCUUGGGGCAUGCAAAAGACAAGAGGUGGUAAAGAAUAAAGUAAUAUUCUUUUGUUUUCCUAUAUGGUCAAAAUAACAAUGUGCAUUGAAUGUUGCCAAUAAUCUAGUCAAAACAAGAUUGCAUCGGGAUAAAUCUUUGAAAGCCAAAUUUGAUGGAAGGUUAGGUUUUCAAGAUGACAACAUGUUUUGAUUGAUGUGAUAGGGUGUGGGGUUAGCAACAGAUAAAGACUUAGAGUCACAGUGUAAUUGGGAUUAGUUUCCACGACUUGAGCAUGCGGGUCUCUAUAAAUACCAAGCGGCAGACGACUAAAAGCUCUCUCCAAUUCAACACACAAAUUGCCUGCGCAAACCCUUGCUCUGCGUGAAACCUCUCAACAACCUUGAGAUUUUUAUUUUCUUUUUCCCGUCGGCACAUCUUCAGUUUGGAUAAACAACACUGUGAAGGCGACCAGCGAACAUCUUCAGUUUGGAUAAACAACACUGCUGCUAUAGAAUCAGCCAACCGCAGAGCAUCUUCAGUUUGGAUAAAUAGCACUGCGUCGAGGCUGACUGGUUAUCUAUCCAAGUCUCGGUCUAGAAGGAUUUUCGAAUCCUUGUUGGCAGAGGUCAUUUCAUCAGCAUUAUCGGCGAAGUAAGGUGUUACAGGUUACUACAUUCGGCACAUUGAAAACCGAAUUUGAUAUUGAACUUUGCAGAACUAGCAGCCUUGUCUUUAGACUCUAAAACCCGAAGGCCAAGACGUGUUCUUUCCUAGGCCGUAGUCAUAAGAUUAAGAAGUCAGCAGCGCGCUCAACACAACAUCAACAAAUUUUACUCCCCGACCGAUCUUGGCUGUUGAGUUAGCACGCCCCGCACACAACUAAAUGACGUAGUUAGCUCAUUAGUUACUCUACCUGUGAUCCACGUAUGCAUUGAAAUUGGUUGACCAUGGAUAUAUUCAUGGCCAGCAGUAUCAUAAAGAAUCAUAUGCAUGGUUGCCGACUGAGUCUUAAUUUCUAAUAGAUUGAGGUGUGUGCCAGUGAUAGGAGCAUAAUUAUGCGACUUAGUUAGCUUGUUCUUACAUUUCUGUUGUUAGUUCCUAGUUAUUUUAGUAUUUUAAGCUAUUUUCGUAUGUUUGUAGGUCCAAAGGGCUAAAGUAGCAAGAAAAUGCAAUUUGGUGCAUUUUGGAGCAAUUUUGGGCUUGGAAUGGAUAACACAUGUAUGGAGCAAGGUGGAUGGACGAAUUUGAAAAUCAAAAGAGGCUAGGAAUGUGUUGAAGAGAUGAAGGAAAUAAAUUCAAAACAAGGAAGAUAAGGAAGCUCAACAAGAAAGAAGGAAUGUUAAUCAAGUUACCUUAUUUUGUCCUAAUCCUUUCCUAAUCCUACACCACCUAAUUUCCAGCUGCAAGGAGGAUCUCUAAAUAUAUUAGGACACCUAUUGGUAGAGGUCAUCUCAUCAGUCGAGGCCGACUGGUUAUCUAUCCAAGUCUUGCUCGAGAAGGAUUUUUGAAUCCUUAUUGGUAGAGGUCAUCUCAGCAGCCUUCUCGACGAAGUGAGGUGUUACAGGUUACUACAUUUGGCACAUUGAAAGCCGAAUUUGAUAUUGAAUUUUAUAGAAUGAGCAGCCUUGUCUUUAGGCUCUAGAACCCGAAGGCUGAGACAUGUUCCUUCCUCGGUCGCAGUUGCAAGAUCAAGAAGUCAGCAACGCGCUCAACACAACAUCAAAAAAUUUAACUCCCCGACCGAGCUCACCAUCAAGUUGGCAAGCCCUGUACACAACCGAAUGAUGUAGUUAGCUCAUUAGUUACUCAGCAUAUGUGCCAUGUAGGCUUAGUAGUUUUUAGAGUCAACACAACCAAAUGCCAAAGAGAAAGUUAUCUCACCGGUUGCUCAUCAUUUAGUUAUGCGGUACGCCCAUAGAUAUCCGAGAAGUUCGUCUAGCCAUUUUCCCUUCUUGUUAAAAAGGGAUUUCAUAAGGCAGUCGAGGAUCAUCUUAUUAGAUGCUUCGGCCAGCCCAUUGCCUUGGGGAUACCUCGGUGUCGACAAAUGCUGCUUGAUGCCAUAUUUCUGGAAGAAGCCAAAUCUUUGCCUACGAAUUGCGGGCCAUUAUCCUUGACGAUGGAUUGAGGGAUGCCAAAUCAGCAAAUGAUGUUCCUCCAUAUGAAGCACUCUAUGUAUGUUUACGUUGUGGUUGUCAUGGGCUUUGCUUCCACCCAUGGCCCUACCAAGUCGAUUGCCCACUGCAUGAACAACCAAGGACUCGUUCGCGGUUGUAGUUUGUUGGCAUGCAAUGCUGGUACUGGCUUGUAGCAUUGGUAGCUGUCACACUUUUGUACUAACUCCUUAUCAUUUUGAUGCAUAGUUAGCCAAUAGUAGCCUGCAUUAAAAGCCUUCUGUGCUAAAGAUCGGCCUCCAAAAUUAUUUCCACAAACGCCUUCGUGGAUUGAGCUUAGAACCUUUAGGUCGUCAAGAGAUACUAGGCAACAGAGAUGUGGUCCAGUGUAGGAUCUUUGAACGAGAAUGUCAUUCCACAUGUAAUAGCGUGCUACCUUUAUUUGGAGCUUUAUAGACUCCAACCUUUCUAUGGGGAAUGUGCCAUUAACCAAGUAGUCUAUAAUGGAACUUUGCCAGUUUGAAGUUAUACUAAACUAUGACACCUCGGCUGCUGGUUCUGCCUCUAUGCUUGGCUUGUCUAGAUACUCCACCGGAAUAAAGCGUUUAAGUUAGUGGUCGAUGGCGGAGCCUAAGCCGGCUAGCCCGUCCACGUGAUCGUUGUCUACCUGCGGAACUUAAGUAAAGGUGUAAGUCUGAAAUGCUGAUAUGGUCUGAUCGCUACUUACCUUUUACCAUGAUGUCGUCGACGUAGACCUCCAUGGUUACUCCAAUUUGCUUCUUGAACAUGAUAUUUACAAAUAUUUGGUAAGUGGCUCUCACAUUCUUGAGGCCAAAGGGCAUGACCUUCUAACAGUAGGUGCCUCGCUCGAUCACGAACGUAAUUUUUUCUUUGUUGGGCUCAUACAUGCUAUUUGGUUGUAGCCGGAGUAUGCGUCCAGGAAACUGAGCAGCUAGUUCCCAAAAGUUGAAUCUAUUAAUAGAUCAAUUUGAGGAAGUGGAUAAGGAUUCUUUAGGCAUGCUUUGUUGAGGUCGGUGUAGUUUACGCAAACCCUCCAUUUGCCCUUCUCUUUUUUCUUCACUAGCACGACGUUGGUAAGCCAUGCUGAGUGUGCUACCUUUUAUAUGAAUUCAGCCUCCAAUAACUUGUCAAUUUCUACCUCGAUGAUUGCUACUCACUUGGGUGCAAAAUGUCUUCUCUUUUGGAUCACCCAUUUAGCAACGGCGUCGACGUGCAGCUUGUGGCAAGCUAUCUUGGGGUCGAUGCCAAACAUGUUGGAAGGUGACCACGCGAAGACGUCAUGAUUUUCCCUAAGGAAAGCCAUGAGUUUCUCAUUUUCUUUCGGGCUUAGACGUGAGCCAAUUCUAGUAAUCUUCUCCGGCUGCUGGGGAUCAAGAAUGAUGUGUUUAACGUCCUCUUUGGGUUUCCAUCCCAUCUCAUAUGCUGGCGUGUAGGUUUGGACACCAUCUUUUUGAUCCGUUUGCUGUAAUUGCUAUUUGGUAGCGUCAUUGUCACUUUGGACCUCGGUAGCCUCUACAAGGGUAAAUGUCUUUUUUUUUUACUUCUUCAGUACUUGCACAGUGCAUCGUCAAAAUACAUCCUGGUCAGACUUAAUUUCUCUGACUCCUCCUCCAGGGAUGCAGAAUUAGAUUUUUUGAUACAUGACGGAAGUGACAGUGUCCAGCUUUAUCAGCCAAGGUCGCCCUAGAAUCCCAUUGUAGGGAAACGGGCUACUUACUAUAGUGAAUGUCUAUUUUGAGACAACUGGCAGUGUUUUCACGUCAAAUGUGAUAUGGCCGAUAGCAGUCGAGGUGUGUCCAUUGAAUUCGGUGAGUACCUCUGCUAGGCGUGUGAUAUUAUUUUCCAAGCCCAUCUUCUGAAUAACUGAGAGUUGAAGUAGGUUGACUACAUUUCCGUUAUUAACCAUCAUCAUGUCGACGAUAGUAUGGGCUAGUUGGACAAAUACCACCAGUGCGUCGUCAUGUGGGAAGUCGACACCUUGGGCAUCCUACUCGGUGAAGCCAACAAUGGGUCUAAGUUGGGUGUUGACUGCCUGGACCUGCAAGACCAGUAGAGCCUGUUGGAUCUUCCUCUUCUUAGAAUUGUUGGUGGCCCCCAAGUGCUCAAAUUCAACGAAGGUGUCAUUAAUCCAAAUCGCCUUGUUGGGCGGUGAUUCAUCAGAAUUUGCAUUUCUUCUAAGCUGCACAACUGGCUUGUCCAAGUAUCUGUCGACGUUACCUUCCUUCACGAGUUUUUUUAGGUAAUUCUUCCAAGUAUAGUAGUCAUCGAUUGUGUGAUCGGGACCUCGGUGGAAUGUGCAAUACUUGGUGUAGUCCAUCUUGGAAGUAUCUCAUUUUGAUUGUUUUGGAAUCUUGAACCAUGGUUCACUUUUGAUGUCACGAAGGAUUUGGUGGAUCGGAAUCAAGAACUUUCUUGGGCAUCAAGCCUCCUUUAUUCGAGGAUCGAUCCCUACGCUUAGCCCUCUACCUACUUUUGUUGUUGUACUGCUUUCCGUAUUCCUUCUUUUGAGCUAAUGCUGACUCAUUUCGAGGCUGCUUGGGAGCCUUGUCCGCUCGUCGAGCCUCAUCCUAAAGUGCAUGCUUUUCUACCAGAGUUAGAUCUUCUUUCAUGAUCAAUUCUCUAAACAGCGGGUGGUCUUCUGGGAGUCCUUUUUGGAAGGGUGCACUUGCUAUCGAGUCGUCGCAUUUGACUAUCUUCGCCUUCUCUGCUUUGAACCUCUUCACGUAGUCACGGAAUGACUCAUUUGGAUUCUUCUUCACAUUGAACAAAUGGUCGGACUUCUUCUUGAUCGAGCGGUAAGAUGAGUAUUCUUUGGUGACAACCAAGGAAAACUCAUCAAAACUCUAGAUGGAUCGUGGCGGUAGGGUGUGGAACCAAUCUUGCGCCUCGCCUUAAAAAGUGGUGGCAAUAUCUUACACAUAAGAGCAUCGUUGUUCCGAUAAAGGACCAUCGUGCUUCGAUAGUGCUUCAAGUGUAUCUCUAGAUCUCCAUCUCCUUUGAAAAAUGUGAAAUAUGAAAUGCUAAAGUUGUAUGAAGGCUCUACCUACUCGAUCUUGUUCGUGAAAGGUGACCUGCUCAUGUUGGUCAUGUCCCGUCGUAGUGCCUCAUCAGUGACCUCGUUGCGUUGGAAGUCAUGCAAUCGCUUGGUCAAGAGUCUCUCUACUUCUUCCUGAAUUUGGCUUUGUUAAGGUAGCGGAGUUCUUGACUACCCCCGAUCUUGACCUGCUGGUUUAGGCUGCUCUUCUAUGUAUUUGGCUCCUUUAUGCUGUGGUUGCGGUGCGUGUGGCACAUCCCUAGUAGGCGAGUAGAUUCCUCGCAGGCUGCCAGUUGAACUUGAGCCGGAUUGAGUGACUGCUUCUUUCCAUCCGUCAUGCUGCCUACUCUGAUGUGAGGAGGAUGAUGCUCCUUGCAGGCCUAGCCGUGAAUGAACACUUCGCCUAGAAGGUUGCUCAUGUUGAUUAUCGGAUUGUGGUCCCAAUCAUGAGUGUAUGUUUAUCCGUAGGCCUAACUGAGAGUACACGCUCGUCCACGAGCUAAGACGAGAGUAUACGCUAUCUUAGGGGCCCAGUCGAAAGUGUACAUUGCCGGAACGCUCGAUUCUUGGCUAGUUGAGUGGUUGCCUGCUAGGACGCUGCUGGAGAAAAGAUUCGUCUCCUAUUGUUCUACUUCGGGACACCUUGUCAGGGGCAUGUUGCAUCUUGGUGCACUAUAUGAGCUAAUUCACCAAGGUCGUCUACUGUGCGAGGGCCCUUGUUAACUCUAUGACUUGUCAAGACAAGUGUUGUUCACCAUUUAGGUUGGAAGAGCUUGGACAGAAUGAGUCUCCUUGAGUAGUGGAAGUGUGGUAGACUCUAAGUGCGAGAUUUGAAUUCGAAAAUGUCAAAUCUAGGGAGAAAUGUGGUGAAAAUGCCCCCGGUUCAAUUGUCGGCCCAGAAAUAUGAAGUCAGGAUGGUUGAACCGUUCUUGGACUGGUUUGGGCUACUUGGGAAGCCACGAAAGUGGGCUACUCCACGUGUGGCACUCGUGGGAGUUAGGCCUAGGCUCUGCUCGGGUGCGUUUUGGGCUCGCGUAGGGUUGUGGCUCGGGUUGGCUCAUCCUGGGCUUGGGCCCUUGAAGCUUGAAAUUGCAUGACUUUUGUCCUUUGGUCUUAAGCUUGACCUUGGAGUGGACUGGGCUCACAAUAGCCUUGGGCUCGCGAGGUCUGGGCCACUGCUCCUGCCAUGGCUGCCUGAUUCUGGGGUUGCUUACCUUGGGCCUUCUUGGGCUGGGUUCCCUUGUGGUGCAGGCCUGGGCUCGCUGCUGCAAGGUGGCAUGGGCCUGGGCUUUUGGUUGCAAGGUGAGGCCUGCUCCUUGGGCUUGGAUCUCGCCAUAAGUUGCCACGGUGGUGCCCCGUGGGGGUGGUACCAUUCCACUCGCCGUUGCGUUGAGCCUCGUGGAUUGUCGUGAUCUAAAUCCUUAAACGUAGGAAGUUCCGUUCUUUGUGGUUUCCGAAUUUCUUGUCAUUGUACUUUUCUUUUACGUUUAUGCAAUUUUUGUAUAAAAAAUUCUAGGAAUGAGAGCGUACAAAAAAUCUACGAAUGAACAAAAAAAUUAGAAACCAUGAAUGCGAGAGUCUAAUGUGAAAUUUAACUAGCACUCAAAUUAAACCCUCUUAUUGACAAUUGUAGUAAAGAUGUAAGUAGGAAUCGUUCUAGGUCGGAGAUUAGGAGGGAUGCUAAUCUACUCAAAUUUAACUCAAAAACACUUAACUAGGCUUGAAAACACUAAACUGGACUCUUAUGAACUCAAAACAAACUAAAAAGACUCAAAACAGCACAAAACAAUUAAAUAAACUCAAACUACACACUAGAGGGUGAAUUGGACGAAAAUUGAUUUUAACUUAACUCAAAACACUUAAAAACACUUAAAAACACAAAUUGGACAUAUUUUAACUAACUUGGCACAACAAAAGUAAAGGGGAUUGGGUUUUUGACUAAUUUAAAGUAAAACUAAACAGAUUUAAGACUCUAAAUAACUUUGGACGAAAUUGGUGAUUUAAUGGGUGAAUGGCUAGCUAGAGGAUUCUUCUCCACACAUGACACACUUGCAUACAAAUCAAUUUCCAGUUGCUUUUCCAAUAAACCAUGAACCUCAACGCCCCAGAUUAACUGUGAAUGGCACUAAUUAACCCUCAGAUUUUCCUUAAGUCAUUGAAUUGGAUGGACAACGCAUCAGCAACCAAAUUAUUCUUCAAUAGUUCCCUACAUGAACAUCAUAAUAGAGAUACAAUCAAAGAUCAUUAAGCUUUGUGAAAAUCAUAAGCAUUGACAAGGCAUUCGUAACUAUGACAGCAUGAUACUCCUGCCAGGAAUUCACUUAACAUGAUUGUGACUAGCAACCUCCACUACUUGUGAAUAUAAGUCCAUAACUAUUAGGUGAAAUUCCCUUAUAUUUUAGCAUCAAAUCACUUCAUAUUACAAAUAUGUUCAUGUUACAAAUCACUUCAUAAACAAGAAUAAGUUAUGAAUCAAACAGUUAAGUAAAUUGCAUUCACGAUUCAUGAAAUCACAACUGGAAGUAAUCAAUUCAUAUUACAAAUAUGUUCAUGGCUUUGAAUUUCCCCCUAGCUAAAAUGAGUUUAGCUCUUCAUGUUUGCAAUUAAACAAAGACAAUUAAAUUUAAACAUUGAAACAAAUGAUAGAAUACACCUAGAAACGCUCCAACAAUCCAACGUCUUGAAUGGCAAGCACGGCUCCAGGGGUCUCAUCUCCUAUCUCAUUGCAAAGCUGCGGCACAAUGGGAUGAAUGUGUAUGAGGCAUGUAUGGGACGAAUUUGUGAUGGAAGAUGGGUGAUUUCUGAGUGCUACGGCAGAAUGUAAGGCACGGCUAGGGUGAGUAGGAAGAGAAUUAGGACUCCAAAUCAUCAAGGAAUAAAGAUACUUCUAAUCAGAUUCCAGGGAGGAAAAGAAUUAAUGUGUUUAGAUGGAUUAUGACUCCUAAAUUCAUAUGGGAAGGAUUUAGAAUAGGAUAAGGACUCCUUUUGCAACUAGACAUAAGGUAGGAUAAGAUUAGGAUAGGAUAAGAUAAGAUAAAGUUAGUUUGGAUAAGAUAAGAUUGGAUAAGGUUUUGGAUAAUGUUCCUUCUUUUUAGCUGAAUCCUUAUCUCUUUGUCUUGAAUUCAUUUUCUUCAUCUUUUUAGCACAUUCCUAGCCUCUUGAACUUCAAAAACGUCCAUCCACUUUGCAAUGCAUGUGCUAUCGAUUAUUGGCCCAAAACUGCUCCAAAUUGCACUUUCUUGCCAACUUUGUCAUUUGGGCCUAUAAACAGAAACUAACUAUGAAAGUGCAAGAAAACAAGCUAACUAAGUCGCAUAAAUAUGCUCCUAUCAGAGUCUUCUUUGAGCAUGUGAAUCAAGACUCUUAAUGAAAGCUCCAAUUUGUGGAUGCAAAUUUCUGCCUUCUUCUUAUUGGAUGAAAAUGCAAUUACAAAACAAUUAACACCUAAGAUCAAGGCCAAGAGCCUCACGUGCCCACGAUUUUGUUUUGGGGGGGGCUUUGGCCGAAAAGUCUCCGAUGCCAAAGUUAGAAAUUGAGAGAUAAAGUGUUUAGAGAAUUUUAGAAGAAGAAUGAACUUAGGUUUUUUGGGAAAUGAUGGGCUAUAUAUAGGGGUGUGGUCAGCCCUGUUUGGGAAAAUAGGGACAGGCCACUUAUGGUGGUAAUUUGGCUCUAAUUGCAAAAUAUUAUGUAGCAUAAUAUCUUGCAAUCAACUAGAUAAUUAAUAAAUAAAUGAGGUAAUUAAUCAAUUAAUUUUGACAAUUAAUCCUAGUUCGAAAAGAAUAAUUGGGAGUUACCUUGUGGGGGAAGAUUUGAUGAGGGGUGAUGAGAGAGUUUAAAAGAAUACCAUUUUGAUCACUUUUGACCUUGAUUGAGCCAUUAUUGUCCGUUGCAUGCGCGAAAUCCCAGUCUGCUUUAAAGGUAAUUUUGUCAUUUUCACCCAAAAAUUCACGUGUCGCCUCCAUAAUUUUCUUGAUUAUUUUUUGCUCCACAUAGUUGAACUAGAUAAUUAAGAGAAAAGCAGAUAACAUAAUUGAAACUUGAAAUUCUUUACCUGAGAUACAUUGAACUGUAUCCAAAAUCGAGCCAAGUCUCUUUCAUAAGCAUCUUCAGGUAGCAGAUUAUUCUCUGACCAAGUUUCUUCAAUGUAUUCAAGGAUGACAUCCGACUCGGAAAUCGAUUUUCCCAGGUCAAGAAGCACCGAAACCUUCUUGUAAACUGGAUUGCACUGCAACAACAGAAGUUCACUCUUGUUGGAAAGGUCUUGUUCUAUGUAAUCAUAUUUCACACCCUUGAGGUUUAGAGCCCUUAUCACUCUGUAAACAUACGGACUUGGCCAAAACCCUAGUAGCUUCACUUCCAUUAUUCGUGUGAUUAGGUGAACGAGGCAGGAGCCUGAUCAUACAUGUAUACUAAUUUAAAUUUGAAUGGGUCUCUAAAAAAGGUCCUCUUUGGAAGUGACAGGCCUUUCUUCCCUUUUUUUUAUAAAAAAAAUUAAUAUUUUUUUUUUUUAACAAACGAUACCUACACUAAGGAAAAAAUGUGAGCUUAACUUCACAAUAGACUAUCAAUAAUGCAUGAAGUGACAAGUAGACAAUGAAAAUCAUAAAAUAAUAUUUAGUAUGAUAUAAAGUAAGAAAUUUUAUCUAGAAUAGUAUGAGUGUAAAGUAAAGUAAGUUGAUUGUGAUGAAAAGGGAUUUUCCUUAUCAUGUAGUAAAGGAGAAAAGAAGAAGAUGUCUUGUUUCCAAAAAAAAAAAAAAGAAGAAGAUGUCUCUUGAUAUUCAAUAAAGGUUAUACAAACAAAUAGCCUUGAUAGUAUGCUUUGUAACAGGGAGAAAGUGCAUUACGUUUAACACGGCAGUGGUGGUGACCGCGGGGGCCGUGGCGGCAAUCGCAGUUGGAGAAUAUAAACUGAAAUAAGAUCACCUAAAAGAGAGAGGUAAGGAGAGAGAGUGUAUCUACGUGAUAGUUUCUCAUUAUUAUUAUUCUAGUCAUGAGGCUGCUGAUACACAAACUGAAUCCACAGAAUAUCUCAGAUCUGAGGGACAAGCAUUUCCCUUGCGCGUUUCAUAUGAGCAACCAAUAUUUGGUAGUUAGGAAGGUUGUCUCUGAUGACAGGAACUUGCUUGAAAUUCUGAACCCAUGCAUGCAAUCGAGGCAAGGUGCUUGGCUCGAGCAAUUUGACACCCACCAUUUCUUCAACGGCUUCGAAAUAAAGAGCCAGCCAUCCAUGCGUUAUGUCUACCAAGUUUAUACUAUCACCCCCAAAACUUCUUGUCACCAAGCCCUUGCUCUUCCAAUAUUUUCAGCGUUUCCAACACUGAUUCGAUUGUCUUUUGUCGAUCUUCUCCGGCAGUUAAUCCGAAAAAUGCAUUAAAACUGGGAAUCUGAUGAUGUAUAAAAAGAUAUGGCUAAGCACUUAUUUUGAUCUUUUAUAGGGAAACAUAAAUUCGUGCGCAUGCUAAUCAUAGCUAUUUGGUUUCAAUCUGAACUCCUAGAGGGCAUGAUGACAAGCUACUUAGGUAGGAAAAAUCCCCAAUUUGAUCAUCACAAUGAUUUGUCUUGUUCUUAACAAACUACAAAAUUAAACUAGUGAGAAAAAUUGAACCCAUAUGAGCAGCAUUUUUCUGUAAAUUAUUGGGAGUCUCUCAAUAUAUAGUUGAACUAGAUAAUUAAGAGAAAAGCAGAUGAGAAAUAAUUGAAACUUGAAAUUAGUCACCUGACAUACAUGGAAUUGUAUCCAAAACCGAGCCAAGGCUCUUUCAUAAGCAUCUUCAGGCAGCAGAUGAUUCUCUGGCCAAGUUUCUUCUAUGCAUUCAAGGAUGGCAAUCAACUCGGAAAUCGGUUUUCCCCGGUGAAAAAGCACCGGAACCUUCUUGUAAACUGGAUUGCACUGCAACAGAAGUUCACUCUUGUUAAAAAUGUCCUGUUCUAUGUACUCAUAUUUCACACGCUUGAGCUUUAGAGCCCACUAGAAAGUUUUGCCCGCGCGUUGCUGCAGGAUUAGAAAUUAUGUGAAAAAUUAUGUUGUACAGGUAUAAACACAUCAACUUAUAUCACAUGUAAUUAAAUCAAGCAAUCUCUAAACAUGAGAAAUGGAUCUUAGAAAGUAUAAAUCCUACCUCAUAAUAUUAAGGGAAGUGUUAUUGGCACUCCAAAAAUCUCAUUCUACACUCCUCACAAGUGUAUUUUUCUUUUCUAAUAUAGAAAGUUUGGAGUGUAGAAUGAGAGUUUUGGAAUGCUAAUAACAAUUCUCAUUUUAUACAAUUAACAAAUUCUCAGUGUAUGAUCACAAAAAGGUAUAGAAAAGUAAUUCAAUUUUUAAAUUUCAAAAAUGGGAAAGAUAAAAAAAGGGUCUAAAUUCUCAGUUCUCAAUAUAACGAAAAUUAUGAUAUCAUUUUAACAUGAACUCGGGUUUUAUCUCGGUCACCAGCAUUAAUAAAGCUAGUGACUUCAACCUGUGCAAGCAAACAACUAAAUUAGACGCAAGCCAACUUCAAUUUAACCGAAUCAAAAAAGCAACCACGAUCAACCAACCACUCUUCUUCCCAUAUGUAGAAGCUAUUCUUUGUUUGCCUUUGUGAGCAGUGCACUUUUCACUCUCUACACACAAAAUGAACACUCAAAAUGCUCAGCAACAUUAAAAAACUUAAUAAGUUAUAUGUAUACAUUACUAUAUAUGUAUUUGGACAUAAAGUAUAAAAAUUUACUAUCAGAUUAACAAAAGAAGUAAUUAUGAAUUGGAAUUAAAUGAUAUUAUAGUUGUUAAAAAAAUACCUAACCAAUUUUUACACAUAGCAUCAUAAAUUGUUAAAAAAAAAUAACAGCACUGAAAUAUCUAAUUACUCAAAUCUAUAAUUCUAUUAAAACACAUCACUGAAAACCCCAAGGAGAGAGGUGCAUAUUCCUAACCUUGCACGGUUAAAAUUGCAUUUUGUUUGAGGGGAGAAAAAUGAUCAGAACUGAUAAGUCAAUAGUUAAAUAGGUUUACUCUGGUGUCAAAUGUUUUUUAAUACAUACAGAAUACUCUCUAUUUAAAUCAACAUUGAUUCUUGCAUACCUUCGGUUAUAUAAUGUUUGGAGUUGAAUGUAUAUAUACCCAGAUGGGAAUAAUUCUUUAUCCGAAACUUAGAACAAACCAACUCAUCCGAGUACGCAAUGGAACUUAGCUACAACUCCAAUAUAAUCAAUGUAAAUUAUUAUAUUGAAACAAUGUGAUCAAACUUAAACAAAACUCCAAAUCCACCAAAAGUUUAAAUUUCUUACCUUGAGUACAGAGGGCUUCAGAAAACAACAACAUUUUAGCCUGGAAAUAAAAUCCACAAAAUUAGAAAAAUGAAAUUUGCAUAGAAUUAACAGUUCUAAAAUGAUAGAUAACAAUAAUCUCACACUAUAUUAUACAAAAAUUUAACCACAAAAAUAGAAAAUGGACAGAUUCAUAUAGGAAAGCAGCAGCAGAGCAACUACUGGAUUCUCUCAAAGAUAAUAUUGUCAAAUUUGUAAGAUUAAGCAAGCAAGAGAGAGUACUGGCUUGCAAAGCGUAAGUUGUUAAUCGACACAUUAUUCUGUCCUAAGUUAAGCAACUGAAGGUUUGUUAAGGCACAUAACAUAAUCAAACCAAGCUUAAAUAUUUUUAAAUACAACAGAAGAAUUUAUUUUUUUUCAAAACCAAGAUAAAAAUCUGAAAAAAAACACAAAAUGCAAGGUAUUCUCUGAGGAAGGAAAGAGUUGCGAACUGCAGAAGACAACAGUUGAGAACGACAAACCACAAAUUCGCCAUAAACCGAAGCAGAGUUGUGAGAACAGACGAAAAUUAAUCAAUCAAUUUCAGAAAAAUAGAGGAAAAAUUAACAAACCUGAUCAAAUAGGAUCUGGAUAAAUCUUAGAACAUACCUGAGUUCAAUUCAACUUGUAUGACAACAGUCCCAACUGUGGGAUCGCCGAUGAUAACAGAGACCAACACCCUAAAGAACCGGAUUCAAUGAGAAGGAAUAGGAGGAAGAAGACACAACCCAAGUUUAAACAUCAUAGAAAAGAAACUAAUGUCAGUACCAUAGAGUUUGAUUUGGGGAUGUCUUUUCUUGUUAGACUAAACAUAUAAACCAAGAUCGUGUAACAUGAAUCACAGCCAUCCAAACACAAACUGUAGUUCAUAACUAUUGUACAGAGUAGAACUCUUACCUGCAGAUCCAGCUUUACACAAAAGCACAACCAUCCCAAAAACCAAAAAUAAGGAACGUAGGAUUUUAGAACCCUGUAAGAAAGGGAGAGUAAAGGAAAGUUUAAUGAUAUAAACAAACAAUAGAACAGAUCCCAUAAGUUCCCUAAAAUGAAUGCUACAAUAUGCACAAAAUGUAACUAUUAGUAAUAGUAACCAAUGUAAUCAAACAUAAAUAAAAUGGUAUCGUCAAUUUUGUUCUUUUUCAUAGAGCUCUGAGGUUGAGUCUUAUGAAAUGGCGAGUUUGAUACAAAUUAUAUUUCUGGCAAAUAUUCCUCUAAUCAGAUGCUCUACCCACUUGACUUCAUCUUCAAUAGCAUCAUUAAGAUCCAAUACAUUCUCAAACAGGGAUAUUGCCUUGGCAUUCUCUUCAUCCUGAAGAGUUUAAUCAUGAUCACAAUUCCGAACUCCAAGUCAAUCAAUUAUCUACAUCAAUGGACUAAUAAAGCAUCCAAUAACAAUAAAAAGUACCCACCUCAACUUUCUUGAAUAUAUCUUGGAAUCCCAACUCCCUAAGAACUUGCUCCCGAAGUCUGCAAAGAAGCUGGAUUUCCCCAACAAAGCAGGAAAAAAAAAGAAAUGUGAAUGCUAGGAAAACGAUGCCGCAAUAAAUCAUGACUACAACAUAAUAGAAAGUGAGAAAUCAACUCAAAUCAAAAUUUCGAGCUUACAAUGCAAUCCGGCGGGCCGCCGUGACUCUCAGGAUCCUUUUUCAAGUCCUCCAGUAUCUCAGUGUACCCUUCAGGCAAAAAUACAAAAAAUUGCAGGCAUUUCCGAAAACCCAAUUCACUCAUCGCAAAACAAUCAGUAAAGUGUGUAUCUUUGAGCAAAUUUCUUAGCUCUUGCCGGAGCGUCGGGAACCGAAGCGUCAGACUCAGCUCGUUUCCUGCCGAAACCAAUCAAACCCAUUAACGAAAAACCCAAGAAAUUAAGAUUUAUGAUGGAGGUUGGGGAAAGGAUGAGGAUUAUCACUUGAAGGAGGGGGUGGAAUUGUAGAAGAGGUCGAUCCAGGAGAGCUCAGUGGGAGUGGGCUUGCGGGGAUUGUUGGAAGGGAAUAUGUAGGGGAUGGUGCAGGCUCUGUAAUUGAAUUCGAUCGGCAUCGUCAGCAGUGGAAAUAAAGAGUGAAUUAGAAGAUUUAUCAGAGAGCUUACCUCUACAGUUAUUGCCGACUUGAACAAAUCAAGCUUCUGUAGCAGUCUACAGAUCACAAAGCUGAGAGAUGGUGAUUGAAACUUGACAGGGAUGUGGUUUAAGUUUUUCUGCGGUGAAGCGGUGAACGAUAGAAGAGAUGAAGGGCUGGUUUGGUAUUGCUGUGCUUUGAAAAAAAACUGUUGUGAGAAUAAGCGGCUAUGCUGUGAGAAUAAGCGACUGUGAAAUAAAUCAGCGGAGUGUUUGGUAAACUUUUUUGUAAAAGUGAUUUUGGAAAAAAAAAGCAGUCUGAUAGUGGAUCUUUUCAUUAAAGAAGCACUGUAGCUCCGUGUGCUUUGAAAAAAAAGCCAGUUUUCCAAAGCUGCAAAUAGCAGCUUCAGCUUUUUCCUUUGAUUUCAACUUAUUCUCAUAGCAGCUUCCAAAAUAAGUUAUUUUUUUUCAGUUUACCAAACACCUAAAACCCUCACAGUUUUUUUUCAUGGGUGCUAUUUUUUUUAAGCACCUCACUCCCAAACCACCCCGAAGAGGGAUGAAAGUUUGCCAUAUGGGGUGAGGAUGGAGGGGCGAAGAAUGAAGAAAGCGGUCGAGGAUCCCACGCGUCACAAAACUGUUACUCAUUUGACAGCAAAGCAAUAGGGGCAAAAUUGAAAUAACAAAAAAGAAGCAGGGAUGAAAAUGGAAGAACACUGUUAAUGAACAGUGUUUUUUGUGUUGGGUUUUAGUAUAUGUAUAAUAUCACUCUGUAAACAAACGGACUUGGCCAAGACCCUAGUAGCUUCACUUCUUCCAUUAUUCGUGUGAUCAGGUGAUCGAGGCAGGCCUAAUCAUACAUAUAUACUAAUUUAAAUUUGACUGGGUCUCUAAAUAAAUUGUAAGAAAAUGAAAUUGCAGAGUCACCCUAUUUGCAGAGUCGUUUUUUUUUAUUAAAUUUUAUUUAUUUAUAUAUAUAUAUAUAUUUUGUUUUUUUUGUUUUUUUGAAGAGCCGGUCUUUCUUGUUUUAGGGUAGCAAAAUUAUAAAAAUUUGCCCAGUAUCUGUGGUUUGCAGAUAAUAUCACUGUUCUUUCGCGUCUAAUAAAGUGAUUAAUUACUCAUUCUAAAAUUUUACUAGGAGAAGCAAUUUUUGCACUCUGUUCUACUAUUUUGUACACUCAUAUUUGUUUAGAUUGUUUGAACAUUUUGUUUAUAUAUGCAAGAAAAGGUCGAAAACGAAUAGGGUGUACAAGAAGAGUGAAAAUAUGAGAAAAUCACUUGUAUUUUCUCAAAUGACAGAGGAGAAGGUGCAUGAUUUGUUUUCUAGUUCUUGGCGUGAGAAAACAAUGGGCUUGUUUACCCAAAAAUACAAAAGGGCUGCCGUUUCAAACUCACCUAAUUUCUUUGAAAAGAUGUGAUUAUUCCCAACUCUAAUCUUGACCUAUAGUCAUGGACUAGCAACGGUGCCCGUGCGAUGCUGCGGGUUUAAAAUUGUAGAUGUUCAAAUCUAUUUACAACUGUUACCAAUUUGAAUGAGAUGUACAAAGAAUUUGUGCAAGCUGGACACAUGGAAUAUCAAUAGUGACAUAAUUUUUUCUUAAGACAUUGGAAAAACUAAGUUAAAACUUGUAAUCACACGACUCUUCAAUCACAUGACACAAAACACAACUACUGUUCACAAACAUGUAUUAGCCAAGAAUGGAAAAUCACCAACGAUGAAAUGUGGUAACAAAUCAAUAACCUCACUUAUAUAGCUUUAGGAUUAACUAUGCUAAUUUGUUUAUGUAAGUGAUCUGUCUGCCCACAUUUUCCUUUUUUUUAGCAGACAAUAGACAUAUUUUGUUUUUUUAAAAUGUGCGAUGACAUAUAAUACUAUAACAGAAUGAUGAAACAAAACAGGUUAAUUUUUUAGCACAACAUGGGUUAAAAUUACCUACAUUUUACAUAUGCAGAUUAAGGGAAGUGGUGGCAAACCUUGUAAUUUGUGCAAGUUGAUCAUCUGCAAUAUCAACAGUGACAUAAUUUGUUGUUAAGGCACUGGAAAAAUUAUAUUAGAACCUGUAAUUACAUGACACUCGAAUCACAUGAUAGAAAACCACAGAGAAUAGAAAUUGAAAAAAAAGAAGUUGAUAGAAAUUGAAAAAAAAAAAGAAGUUGAACACAUUAAGUCUUCACAAAACUCCCAAGAAUGAAAAAUAAGCAAAAAUACAGAUUACCAAUGAAGAAAUGAGGAAACCUAUCAGCAACCUAAAUUGUACGCUCAUUUUAAAUAAGUAUGAUAGAGAGUUAACAUUAUAAUCAAAUUUGAUGAGCCCAACUGGAGAAAAUUGAAUACUAACAUUCAAAGUGGAUUAAAAAGAUGAGAAUAUGCUUUAAAUAAGUAUUAAGUCUGUAUUUAUGUGUAGUACAAUUGUGUGGGAUUAGAAAUUGAAUAUACUAUCUUAUAACUGAAUGAUCAUGCAAGGAAAAUUACCGUGAGAUUGUAAGGAGCAUGGAAAAGUAAUCUAAACAAUUAACAUUACUGAUUAGUAGUUAACUUCUUAGCAUUUUCAUUGUAAAAAUUAAAUAUAAGGGUGUAAAAAGAUGGAUCAGAUUUAGUUGGUUUGGUAAUUUUCCAAGUUAUUUCAGUCUUCAUCAUUUGGAGGAAUAACAUCACUUCCAUCUUUCAACUGUUACUAAUUUAUACACAGACUUUAUUCUUUUGACCUAUUCUAAAUGCAUGAUUAAUCACUUGACUAUACACUGAGUGGUUUAAGAUGGACAUCCAAAAGUAUAAACAGAGAUGCUACCACCAAAGAUGCACCCUCUCCACAUGCUUUAGCCAAAUAACACGUUAGGAGUGGGGGUACCAUUAAAUCUAAUUAAUGAGUGAUGGGAAUGGUUUAUGAAUAGAUUUAACAAUUCCACCAUUACUAAGGUGUUCUUUGGCUUAAUUAAAGCUUGUGGAGAGGGUAUAUCUCUGGUGGGGACAUCUAUAGUCAUACUUUUGGAUGUCCAACUUAACCCCUUAGUGUGCAGGCAAGCAAUUAGCCAUGUAUUGAGACCAGGUGAAAAUAGGAUAGUAUGUAUGUGUGUGUGUGUGUACAUAUAUUGGUAGUAGUUAACUCCCCCAAAGAGAAACAAUAGCAAAGAUUGAAUUUAAAUGCAAAAUGCCAACGAAAGAAAACCAAGAAAAUCUAAAUAAUUUCACAUACCAUUGGAUCCUUGCGAAACCUAUUUGUUGAAGCUACAACUUGGUUGUUGACUUUGUGAUUUCUUCUCUCUUUUUUUAGUGUGUAAUUGUUAGACAAAGCUUGUAACAUCUUAUUUCAUACCUAGACACCAAUCAUGUAAACUUCAUUCAUUAGAAUAUGUCUGAUCUUUCUGAAAUUCCAUGAAUUGUAAUUUUUUACCAAAAAAAUUGACAAAGGUCAAUAUCACACUCUCAACCAAACAUUAAAAAAGUGGAGGGACAAAACAAACAGGUUUUAGUCCUCACUAUAGUUAAAAUAGUUAUGUUAUUUGACAAUUAAAUAGCAGUGAUAGGUAUCAUCUGGAUUAAGAAAAUUAGUCAUUGAAGAAUCUCCAAGAAAUUAUCAAAGUGGAUUCAAGUUUAUAAAAUUUUUAUUGAAAUAAACUAAAAAAAGUAAUAGAAAUCAAGCUAACCUGUGUUUGGUAUAUGGAAGAUACUGGAUCUCCUUUUGGCCUUUGUAAAUGGCAUGUUGUUCAUUGUGUACAAAGCUAAAAAAACACAGUAAAAAUGUUAAUCUAGGCCAGAAAAAGUAUAUAUAGAGUGUAUUAUGUAAAUAUUUUCAUAUAAAGUAAGAAUAUUUAAAACAAUUAAUUGCAAAAAAAAAUAAAAUUUCAAAGAUAAGUCAGAGAAAUCUUUGAAGCAGAGAAAUAUAACAAAAGUUUUCCAAUUGUAGCCAUGCAUAAACCACUAAAAAAAGCCAAGUAUAUUGACAUAGCUGGAAUGCUAACCAGAAGACAUUAGGUUACGUGGAUAAAAAUGGAUUCAAAUAGAAUUGAAAAAGGGUAGGAACAAAUUUUUCGGAUUGAAAUUGACACAUGUAUAGCAAAGAACAUUAAGUUUUAACUUUUAAGCAUAUCAACUCAUGAAGCAUCCCAACAUAUAUAUGGAAAAAGAAUGAUACAAAUACCAGCAUACACAUGUAAAAGCAAUUAUUAACACAACUAACAAACAUUUGUAAAUUAAAAAUUUUGCACUAUUUAACAGCCCGACUCACCUUUCCCCUUUUUUUUCUCAAUUUGACCAAGAGCACUUUGCAGCUCAUAUACAGUGCUUCCAUACCAAUCUGCAGCAAAAAGUGAAAUUACAAAUUAAACACACACAAAACAGUAAAAGUAAAGUAUUUUUCUUUCCAUUCAAAGCAAUGCAUAACUGAAAAAAGCAUAAUUGUAAAAAAGAUUAAACUUUUUUUUUCAAAGCAUAUAUCGUCUAAAACCCAACGUUUAUAAACAGUCGCAUUUUUUGUCAAAAUUGUAUUUGCUUUACCUCCAUAAGUUUGAUUUCUUUUCAGUGUUUUUUAGAGCUUGACGAAACCAUGAAGAGACAAACAACAGCACUCAACUGUUUUUGCAACCUUGUAACCAGUUACACAAAUAAGAAUGCAACAUUUCUAUUAAAGCAUGUAAUUCUCCUCUUCCUAUAUUCUUCCCCUUUCUCUAGCUAAAUAAAAAUUUCCAAAACUAUGUACCAAAAGCUCAAAAGUGGGAUUCAAAGAGUCAAAAUGUUCAAAUGCUAUAUUUUUAUUAGGACUUCAUAGUCUAUUUAACACUUGGUUUCUCGAGUAGUAAGUUUCCCAUUCUUUGUCUAGUUAAUUUCACACGCCUACAACAAAUAAAAUAGUUGAAUAAUUUCAGUAUUUUUAUGUGCCUACUAAAGUACACAUAUGAAUAUCAAAACAAAAACCUCCAAUUAUCAUAGCAUUCCCUUUCUAUCUUUAUUUUUGAAAAAGAAAACACAAAUGGAAGAAAAAAUUCCACAAUUUGAACUUGUAACUCGUAACCACAGAGAGUCAAUAGCACUUCAAUUAUGUAAGAAGGGAAAGGGGGUGCAAAUAAGUGAUGCUCAAUUGAAAUCACUGCCUAGUUGUCAACUCUUUACUGAGUUUAUCCCAAUCAGCAACACUUUAACACAUCACCUUCCAAAAACUCUGCAUGUAUACCACGGAAUGAAAACACUUUAUACUCCAACCAACUUAACCCAUAUAACAUAUGAAGUCAUCCAACAGUUGCAGGGGGGGAAUGAAAACUGUAUCUAAUGGCACAACAACAUAAAGUUAUUUGUGGCAAAUCUUACAAUCAUAUGCGUCUCGAACCAUUUGAUAUCUGACGAAUCCUGAAAAAAAGAGUCAGCCGAAAUCAUGAAACCAAAAAAUCAGAAUGUUUACAAAGUAUUCCUUGAAGCAAAAGCAUGCGCGGGACAUUCACUUAAAAAAAUGAAAAGCUUUCAGUACCCAAAUAGCUAAAAGCCGAGAACAAAAAAAAAACAGUACCUUUGCGGGUUUGGAGCUCUUUUCUUAUAAAUAUUAUAGUAUUGGUGUGGCGCCUCAAUUCGUGGUGUUUCCGUCGAUAACAAUCGAAGGUGGGGCAGCUGGUUUGGGUGAAGAAGAAGAGGAGGAUCCAAGCCUACAAACAGAAUCACAAAAAACAAACAUAAACACAAAACCCAUCUGCACACGAUCGGAUCGGAAUCGAAAGAAAGAGAUAGAGAGAUCUAAACAAAGGGAAACACAGACGGAGAGAGAGGAGAAAAGAAGAGGAAAGGGAAAUGCCCAGAUCAGAAAACUACCACAAAGAAAAAAAAGGCGGAAGCUGAGUAGAAUACUCUCGAAGCGAAUAGAUCAACGAUGAAAGACGCGUGGCCAACAUGGGUAAAAGAGACUUUCCACUGCACAAAAAAGGAAUCAAUGCUUUGAGCCAUGAAAAAACAGAGGGCAUUUCCAACCAAACACUGUUCACGAACAGUGAAAAACAGUACCGGGGAAACCGAGUUUUAGUAUAGAUAAAAUAUCAGUAUGUCAUCACUGUGGAGAAUUUUCCUACUUGUGGGUACUGACUUUUUGACUUGUUGUUUGUAUGUGUCACCAUCAUGGAACACACUGGCAGAGCAAGUUAAGGGCUGCCCUCAACUGUAGCCCAGGUAGUUUGCAGUGAAAAAUAAAAUUUUACAUGUAAUUUUGAUUGAUUUUCGAAUGUAACCUAACAAAUAUUUAGUUACUACUUCAAAUUUUCUAGGUUUAACUAUAUAAAAUUAUAUAAUACAGUUUGAAAUAAUCUCUUUUUCUUACAUUAUUUUUCUCAUCGUUUCUUGUAAAUGUACAAGUCUGGAUUUGUUUAAUUUAACACGUAUUUGUUUAAUUACAAAAUUUUUUGACUCACCUUGUGAAUUUUUUUAAGCUAGUUGAUACUAUGAAAAAUACGAUAUCAAGUUUCUUUAUUUAUAAAAAUUAAAAAUUUUAAGCUAGCCCACCCAGUAAAAAAUUUCUAACCCCACUAUUAGAACAAUAUAAAAAGUCCGAAAAGAAAAUAUUUUUAUCUCAAAGAAAAAUGUUGAAAUAGGAUAAGUGACCACACUAUUUAGUUACGCGUACAGACUGAUGAGGUAUGGCAAAUGCAAACAGGUAGCCGAGGUCUUGAAAACUCAAGAUAUGAAGGUCGUCCCUACUAAAAGAAUUGUGCUCAAUUGUUGAGCUUCUUUUCAUUUUCUGUUUAUAUAGAACUUUACAAGUAUAGUUAAUUAGAACUUUACAGGUAUAGUGAAUAUUUCACAUGGAUACACUGCAUCAAUGUUUCUGCAUCUGAGUAUGGGCAGCAUUUGUUUAAUGCAUGCGUGGGCAGCAUUUGUUUAAUGCAUCUGCAUCUGAGUAUGGGCAGCAUUUGUUUAAUGCAUGCGUGGGCAGCAUUUGUUUAAUGCAUGCGUUGAGUGUAUUGCAGAGUCAUUCACAUGGGCAGCAUUUGUUUAAUGCAUGCGUUGAGUGUAUUGCAGAGUCAUUCAGCCCAAUAGGUUUGUGGCAUGGAUGCAUGAGCAAGAAGAGUGAGACCAGUUUCAACCAAAUGACGAUGUUUUCGUUCUGCCAUACCGUUUUGUUCAGGAUGGUGAGGGCAUGUAUAUUGAUGAUGAAUGCCAUGUUUUUCCAAAUAAGAUUUGAAAGUUUUGUUAAUAUAUUCUCCUCCACCAUCCGUUUGAAAAGUUUGGAUUUUUGUUUGAAAUUUAUUCUCCAUUUCAGUUUGAAAUUUAAUAAAUGUUGAGAACACAUCAGAUUUUAGUUUUAAUGGAUAAAGCCAUGUAUAUCGUGAAUAAUCAUCAAUGAAAAUCACAUAAUAGCGAAAACCAGAAAUUGACAAAGUAGGGGACAUCCAUACAUCAGAAUGAAUAAGUUGUAAAGGAAAAUGAGAAAUAGAAUUUGAUGGGGAAAAUGGCAAUUUCUUGCUUUUGCCCAGAGGGCAUGAAUGACAGACAGAAUUAAAAUGGUGCCUAGUAAGAGGCACUUUGCUAGAGGAAGCUAAAUGCUUUAAAAUAAAUAACGAAGGAUGACCGAGUCUAGAGUGCCAAAUACGAUCAUCAACCUUGACUCCCAUGCACGAAAACAGUCCAUGUCUUUUAAUGGAAUUAAAACUUGAAUAAGGAUAAACACCAGUGUUACUCCGGCCUGAUAAAAGGAUCCUCCCCGAGCGGAUAUCCUGAACACGGAAGAAAUUAGGAUGAAGGACAAAGAAACAGUCAUUGUCAGAAGAGAAUUGAUUGAUAGAUAAUAUAUUUUGAGAGGCAUCAGGGCAAUAUAAAGUAUUUUUAAGAGUAUAGGAGCUAGUAGGAGAGUAAAUAAAAGAGGUGCCUAUGUGGGAAAUGUGCAAACCUUGAGCACCAUUAACACCACCGACUUGAUCUAUGCCUGUGUACUCCUGUGCAUUUGUAAGUUGUCCAGGAUCAUUAGUAAUAUGUGUGUUCGCUCCAGAGUCCAGAAGCCAUGUUGUGAGAGCAUGAGAUGCAGACUGGGGUACACGGGUUGACUGUGCAGCAAGAGCUGUGAGACGAGCACUUGGAACACGACCUUCAUAAGAAGUAUUCAUACGGUUGUAACAGUCAAUGGCAGAGUGACCAUUACGACGACAAAUCUGACAGCGAAGUGGUGGACGAUCAGACGAAGAGGGACCUGCACCAAGGAUACCGCCAUGGGGACGUCCUGGAUUAGGAGCAGCAGCAACAUGUGGGCGAGCCUGAUUGCCACUACGAGGAUGGACAGCACCACGGCCUCCACCAAGGGCAAAGCCUGCAUGAGCAGUCUGCCGACGUCCACGAUUAGCAACAUGGCAGUCAAGACAGGAGUGUCUCCAGACAAAUUGAAGGUAAGGUGACGAGCUUCAGCACUGAGCAGCAGUGCUUCCAAAGCAGCAUACGAAAUAGGAUUUUCUCGGGCUUGAAUGGAGGCGACUGUGUUCUCAUACAGUGGUCCAACAUUAUUCAUGAUCGUGGCAAUUAAGUCCGAGUCAGCAAUGGGAGAACCAGAUAAGGCUAACUGAUCAGCCAAGGUGUUGAGUUUGUCCAAAUAAUCGGCAAUACUGAGAUCACCACGCCGGAGAUUGAGAAGUUCCCCGCGGAGUUGAAUAACACGAUUGUGGGAGGAAGGUGCAUAUCGGUCCUGUAAAGCCUUCCAGGCCUCGGCAGCACUAACACAUUUGACGACAACAUGCAUAACAGGAGGAGAGAGAGAACUAGUCAGCCAUGAUAGAACCAUCUGGUCAGUUUGGAUCCAAGGUUCGAAGAGAGGAUUGAUGGUGUCAGUGAGUUGACCAUCAUCAUUCAGUUGAUGAGCAGAAGGGCACUGAGAAGUGCCAUCAACAUAUGGCAUCAAACUGCGACUGCGAAGAAGGGGAACAAACUAGGCACGCCACAAGGGAUAAUUAUGGCGAUCAAGUUUUAGAGGAAGAAAUGCAGAAACAUUAGUGAGGGCAGCGGAAGAAGACAUUGUAUUUGGAAGAGAAAUAUGUCGUAAGAAUUGAAAAAGGGAUGAUACCAUAAAGAAUUGUGCUCAAUUGUUGAGCUUCUUUUCAUUUUCUGUUUAUAUAGAACUUUACAAGUAUAGUUAAUUAGAACUUUACAGGUAUAGUGAAUAUUUCACAUGGAUACACUGCAUCAAUGUUUUUGCAUCUGAGUAUGGGCAGCAUUUGUUUAAUGCAUGCUUGGGCAGCAUUUGUUUAAUGCAUGCGUUGAGUGUAUUGCAGAGUCAUUCACAUGGGCAGCAUUUGUUUAAUGCAUGCGUUGUAUGUAUUGCAGAGUCAUGCAGAGUCAUUCACAACACUUGGUUUAUCACCUACAACUUCAAAUUAAAAUUAAUCCUUAGAAACUCGCAUGCUAAAGAUGAAGAUGCAAGUCAAGAUAAAUUUGUUAUUAGUUAGUUUAAUCAGCAUAGUUAAGUUUGUUAUACUUGUUUGUGAUUAGACAAGUUUGUUGUAGUUUCCUUUGUACAUAGCUAAGUGAUAUAUAUACAGUGGAACUAUGAUUGUUUAGGGCCGGAGUAAGGCUAAUCCGAAUAUCAAUACCUCACAAGUCCGAUCAUGAACUUGACAACUUCGAGCAGAGCUAGAUCAAACAUAGCAUGCCACCAUCAUCCAGUUCCAGGGCAAUAGGUGAAGUCCGAGCAACUCAGUUGGUAUGAUUAUGCUUGUUCCACAAGGCACAAGAUUUGAUUCGGAUAUUGACACAAUCAGAUUCCUCAUAAAUCUUUGAGUUCCUACAAUCUAGGAAUUGGCGUGCGCCGCAAGUAAUUACUACUCCUAAGAGGGCGCAAUAUCUACUUCUAGAUAUCUCUUGGGAUUCUUCCAGUUUAGAACAAGAAUUCUAAUCUAAAAAGCUCUCCUCACAGUAUAAAUACACCCAUCUAGUGCUCGUCUUUGGUAACACAAUCUUAGUACUCUAUUCUCUUGCCCACUGUUUGAGCCUAAAAUUGCUUACUAACUUGACUGUUGGACAGCCUUGGCCGACAUACCCCACCCUGGUCCUAGGCUUGCUCACGGUUGUUCUCAAUUUUGCAGAUUGCUCGAAUUUGUGUCUCCAUUAUUUGGAACAAUCUGCAUAUAUAUUUUUUCCAACAACUAGCGCUUUUAUUGAGAAUGAAUUCAUAUUCCUCUCGACAAAAUCACUCUACCCCAAUGGAGAUUCCCCCCAAAUCAUAUCGCGAUGAACUACAUGCUCUAACGCACAACAUUAACCCCGAGAUCGACGGAGUUACCACCAUGUACGAGAUAUAGAAAUAUGUGAUGCAUAUUUAUCUAUCCUUGGAGGACCUUCGACGGAGCCCCUCUCGCCAAAGAACCUAUAAGACUCAUCGAUUUGAAGGCGCGAAUUAAAGACCUGGAAGAGGCCAUCUCGCGCUUUAAAGAAGUGUCAGUCCAGACAAUGGAAAUCGUUGAUCUGACUCUCGAGGCGUCACCCCAACGUCCUUCACCGAAGACGUACCAUAAAAAAUCUAGGAGGCUACAAUGCCUACAUCCCAUCCAACGAUUGGACAAAGAACCAUUCCCUAGAGUGAAUUACAUAUACAGCGAGCAAGAAUGUCUGGAAACACUAGGAAAGAAAGCAGCAUUUGACAAAUUUCUUGUCUAAUAUGAUUUUACGGUAAAGAGACAUGUAAUGCGGCCUAUAGAUAUUGCAAAAUUUCUGAAAAAAAAAUAUUGAGUACAUAAAAGUGUGAAAUUUUUAAAGAUUCAAAAAUUCAAAAAAUUAAGUUAUGAUAUAGCAACUCUGUUGAUUUUUGUAUUUCUAUAUGGUUUUGUAUGUGUUAUUUCUAGAAAAAUGAAGAACAGAAGAAAACAAUGAAAAUUUGAAAAUGGAGAGUAUGGUGCUCUCUUGUAUUUCUCGGUGGAUUCGAUUACAGAAGCAUUCAUUCACACACACAUACAUAAGCUAUGAUGAGGUGAAUAGGGACAAAAAUAACCGUUCGAGUGUGCACGCUUUGCUCGUGUAAGCAAGCUCACGUGUACUACACGGGAUCAAUUUAAAACACCACUAAUCGGGACAGGUGGCACACUCUGCACCAUUUAGAUGUUUUAAUCAUAACCGUUUAUUACACUAGGAUUAUAAACUCCAACAUUCAAAUUAAAACUCAGCCAUAUCAAUUUGAACUGCACUAUGUUGCAAUCCAGCAACCUUGAUUCACAGCAACAUCCUUAUACUGCAACAAGAUCUGUCCAAUUUUGACAAAAAAAAUGACAAUUUCAUCGACUGUCAUUGGAAAAUCUGUUUUACUUAUUAAAUAUGGAUACGAGAAAGACAAUAAAUUAUUCUAGUUCCUAACAACUUUCUCGACUAUAUUAACACAUAAAAAUGAAAUAUUAUGUAUUAAAACUUGUAAUCGGGUAAUACAUUCAAAACUAGAACUAAGAGAAACUAAAAGAGAGAGAGUAUCUACAUGAUAGUUUCUCGUUAUUAUUAUUAUUAUUAUUAUUAUUAUAGUCAUGAGGCUACUUGUACACAAACUGAAUCCACAGAAUAUCUCAGGCUUGAGGGACAAGCAUUUCCCUAACGCGUUUCAUAUGGGCAACCAAUUUUUGGUAGUCAGGAAGGUUGUCUCUGAUGACAGGAACUUGCUUGAAAUUCUGAACCCAUGCAUGCAAUCGAGGCAAAGUGCUUGGCUCAAGCAAUUUGACACCCACCAUUUCUUCAAUGGCUUCGAACCAAAGAGCCAGCCAUCCAUGCGUUAUGUCUACC